rnacentral:lncRNA from 1 species
UUUUUUUAAAAAGUUGUAUAAUUUUGUUUAGUAAUAUAUUACAGAACUUUUUUUUUUUUGAGAAUAAUAUAUUACAGAACUUAAUUUAAUAUAUAUUUACACUAAAGUAUAUUCGUAAUAAUUUAUAAUACCUCUCAGAACGGAUUUGUGAUUCAUCAUUCAUAAUACAAACAUAUUUAAAUAUACCAAUAACUAAACAUAUUUAAAUAUACCAAUAACUAAGGCUGUGUUCACUUAGAAGGAAUAGAAUGAAGGGAGAAUAGAAUGGAUUUUGUAUUAUAAAUUGUGAGUGAUUAGUGAAAUUAUUUAUAAUUUUCAUUUCUUCAAUCAUUCCAUUCUAAUUUAUUUAACUAAAAAUCUUACGAAAGAUCAUUUCAUUUGUUCUAUCAUUUUUUCCAUCAGCAUAUCAUCUUCAUGAAAAGUUUUAACUCACUCAUAUUUAAUUAUUAUUGCCUCAUACUUUUUUCAUUUUCUUAAAAUUUCUCCAUACAUUUUCAUUCAAUUCUCCGCUCAUUUCAUUCAAUUCAAGUGAACGCAGCAUAAAUGCUAAUGACAUGCAUGAUAUAAUGCAAAUGUCAUAAUUGCUUGUCCAAAUAUGUUUUCGGACACCAUAAGAUUUGUAUGAAUUUUUUGUGUGUGAUAUAUUGUAAUAUGUCAAAUGAAAGAAUUGUAUAUGUACUAAUAGAUUGUGUGACACCAUGUGUAAUUUCAACGUGUAGUUAACAAAAACGCAUCUGUGAAGCUGUUAUGGAGUAAGGUCGUUUAAGUCGAAAACAAGUACUACAGGACAACUACCACUUCAUAUCUACCAACAUAAGUAGUACUCCCUCUGUCUCUUUAAGCUUUUCCUAUUUGAAAUGUCGGGAUUGUUCAUGACAUGAGUCAAAUGCUUAAUUUACGUCAAAUUUAUAAGACCAAAUAUAGUCAUGAGUGAUCUUGUUGGAUUCGUAUUUACGAGUAUUUUAAUAUAAUAAAGUUUUUUUAUUUAAUACUAAUAUGAAAUUAAAGAUAUAAACGAUAAAAAACGUGUGUUGGCAAACGUGUCCAAGGCAAACAGGAAAAGUAAUAAGGGACGGAGGGAGUAUACUAAAAAGACAACUGAAAUAAACCUCAGGUUCCGUAUUAAAUAUACCGUUCGAUCGCUCUCGUCUUGCAUACAAAUCAACAUCACACUCCACGUAAAUGAACUCACAUUACAGAAUAUGCGAAUUUUCAGCUUAAAUUUUGCAUAUGAAAAUUGCUUAAAUAAUUGACAAAAUUUAAAAAAAUCAAACAAAAUUACAUCCAUCACAAGAGUCCACUUCAAGCUUGGCAUGCUGUAGUGGAGCGUACAAUCCCCGUAUAAUAUUUUUGUAUUAAUUAGAUUAGAUAUAUUAUAUUUAAACAGUGAUUUUGAUGAACCACAAAUCUUCUUUAUCGGUAUUAUAAAAAAAGGGAAUCAGAUUUAAUCGAUGAAUUCACAGAACAAUGAUUAAUCCGGGAUUAAUUGGAUUGACCAGAAAUUAAUAGGAUGAUUAAUUGAAGAUUCAGAUAUUUAAUCGGUUCGACGAGCUAUGUAACAUGGAUUAAUCGGUGAUUAAUCGUGAUCAGUCACCGACUUUUAUUAGAAUAUAUCUUAUAAUCAUAUCAAGCAUAAUCAAUUUAUUAAUAUCCACUUAUUACGAUAUUUGAUAUUAGGGGCUAAAUCCAGAAAUUAAUCUAAGACCAGCUGGUCUUAAAAAUUAAGGGAAUGAAUUUGUUCGAAUUUUGCGAACUUAUCCCCAACUUGAAAACAAUUUUGCGAUAGAAUGCCAUUUGCAAAAACCAAGUAUAGGCCAACAAUGUGUUGGUGUGGUGGUAGAGCUCUUGUAUCCCUUUGCGGGAGGUCGGGAGUUCGGGAGUUCGACUGUAAUCAAUUAGCAAAAAAAAAAGAAAAAACCAAGGCUAGGAGAUGAAAAACUGAAGACAAAUCAUAAAAAGGAAAGAGUCAAUUAUAAACUUGUGCAGAUAGUACCUGCUAUUCUACCAAUCUUCAAACACAUUGCAUAAAUGCGAAAGAGAUAGGCAACUACCAUUGCCAUUCUCAACUACCUUCACCUCACCUCCCUAGUACUAUUUCUUUAUAGCAAGAUUUUCUAGAAAUUGAAAGUAAAGAAAGAUCUAACUGAAUGCCAUAACAUUCUAAUGUUCAUUAAAUGGUUCAUUUCUAUGUGUUAAGAAAUCAACAAUAAUUGCGGUUAUAGACAGUACAUCAUAAUAGAUAGGCCCAGUGAACCCAGAUUUAAGGGUUUAUGCAGUUGCAAAUAUUUAUUUGGAUGCCUAGGUUACUACAGCGAUGCAUUCGUGUUGGAAAAAGAAUGACCCUCUUCCAGACAUCUCGAGAUUUUAGGAGAAUUUGUCUUUUAAUAACAUGUGUUUAUUUCACCUUAAAAUGCAGAAAAGAAUCUAGAAAUAUACUUGAUAGCUCACAUUUGUUUCAAAAUUCAGACUCGCAAGUCGCAGCAUUUUGCAGAAAAAAUUCCUCUCAUAAAACGGAAAGCAGAAACACGGACUCUCUGUCUGCUUGUGGUUGUGAUUAGGCUGCUGGUCAGGACAGAAGCUAAACAACUCUAACCAAGGGUAACAUUCUGUUCAAGGAUCCAGAAGCCUGGUCUGUUUUUUUUUUUUUUUAAUAAGUAUCAAUUCAAUAAUAAAAAGCCAUACGGCAUCUACAAAAAUGUCGCGUCGAACAAACCAUAAAACAAAAACAAUAGCUGAUUAACCCAUUCUUGUUGGAGAUACAAUCACACCAUUUGUUGGAGAUGAUAUAUCAUAUAUUUACAUGUACCCGCUUCACCAUAUCCAGUUGGAACUAAUCCGGUUUGAGCUAUCGACCAUAAUUGCGAUCCCAUAAAAACUCUUAUCACCAAAUCAAACACCAUACUCUCACAAACAAAGGAGAGAAAUACCAAAACUCUCACAAAGGAGAGAAAUACCAAAACUCUCACUAAGGAGAGACUACAACGAAACUGAAAUUGCAAAUUAAAUUAAAAUUACAAAAUAAAAGCAAACUUUAGAUCCAGAAAACAAACCACAAAAAUAAGAGAAACCGGACCCCUCUAAACCGUAUAGCCAUCCAUUUGAUCGGAGAAGACAAAAAUCCGGAUACUCCGAUGGUCUGUUAUCUCGUGUUUGUUAAAGCAAUGAUUUAUUUCAAAAAUUCUCUCAAGUUUGAAUGAUUAUCAGCUACAUGCCUACAUAAAUCUCUACAAAGCAACUCAACUCCAUAAAAUUACUGUAUUAAAAGGAAUCAGGUAGUAUGUCAUGCAUGAUCGAAUCUUGAAGUUUCGAUGUUUAAGGUUGAAACACUCUGCAUCAGGCGUAACGAUUACAAAAGAAUAGAUACUUACAAACUCCGAGUCCAAAAGAAAUAUCUGUGAAUACAUUGUUAUCUUCAGUAAACUGCUGGUUGCUUAAUUCCUCUAGAUUACUAUAGAGGAACUCGCAUAGAACAUAUGGCGCAAGUCAAUCUCUAAUGUGAAAGCAAUGGUUAGGGCUUUGUAUUUGAGCCUGCAUUCCUGAUUUAUUGAAAGACUUCAGUAAGAAACUAUAAGAGACAGAAUGAAGUCAGUAAAUCAUCUAAUAUUAUGUAAAAACUAUACAUACUCUAAAUGACUAGCAAGAAUGAGCAAGUUCCAACCCUACCUAAACGAAUCAUAGACGUUGCCCUCAGGCCUCAGCAGUAUUGUAGCCUAAGUGAUAACCUCUUCUCUCGGUAACAAGAGGUUGAUGGCAAGGGCGGACCCAGAAUCAUUUACUUAUCCAGGCUAAUUGCAAAGAGACAUUUAUACUAAAUUUAGUAAAGAAACAUGACUUAUUUAGUUUAUAAACUAAAAAAUUGAUGGAGAGAGUCUACAGAUAUGUAGGAGUAAAAGAUAUCUGCCAUUGAUCUUUGCUAAUGAAAAAAGCUGUAUGAUGAGUAAGAUAAAAGAUGCAGAAGUUCAACUCUGUAAAGACCACGGAAAACAUGCAAAAAUCUGAUGCUAUAAUAGUUAUCUGACAUAAUAAAGCAGCUGGGUACUUCAUACUUGACUGGUUUACAGGUGUGGAAACUCGUAUGUGGCGGAAUCUUGUUCAGAGCCUCUGAUCUCAUAUUUCAGAGACGAGUUGGAACAACUUGGAAUGCAUGAGCAUAAAACUCAAAAACAACAAAUGCUUCUUUGUUCAUAACUCCUAAAAGGGAGAGGGAAGUGACUGGCCUGGGUAGAAUUGAGAGAUUAAUGAUAAUUGAUAACCGUCUUUCAGUCCUCUUGUCAACAAUUCAUGAUUCUAUUAUCCUCAAACCCACAAAUUAAACAAGAACACUGGGUGAAACCAUUCCCAGUACCAUCAUAUAAGCUUCUCGUUAUAUCAAUUCAAAACUAUUACGAGUCUGCAGUUCCCUCGGAGAACAAUCUUUCAAUUGUGCCAUGUACGUUACAAAAAAUUCUACAAUCACAACACUCAGCUAUAUGUCUAUAUCAAUAUAUGUAAUUAUGUACUAGCCAUAAACAUGUUACAUUUCCUCAAGAAUAAACCUAAAACAUUCGCUUCCAAAUAAUACUUGAAAAACAGAGAAAAAAUUAUUGAUAGCAGAAACAUAAGCAUUCUUCUCUGCUCUACUGAUAUUGCAAUACAUAAUCUAAUCUUAUGGGGGUAACAUAUUCAGUAAUUGAAUGUCAUGGGCAAUAUAAAUAUCUUCGUUUCAGCAAUAAAAUUAAAAGAAACGCAUAGAAAAUCCAUUGGAUUCAUCUAAAAGUUCAACAAAUAACCACAAAGUGUCCCAACACUCUGAUGGAUAAGGCAUUUAAUUUUCAUCCCCACUGAUAUCAGAUGCUAGAUCUGUCUCUGAAAAGGCGAAUCUUAGGUAGAAUUGUCAGAAUCAUAAUAACUUAAUUAUAUAUAAAUUCAAGUAUCCGAGUCUGACAUUAAACUUUCUUGAUACCUAAAAAAAAUAAUUUUUCUCUGAGUGAGUAAUUUAUGAAUGAAGAUUGUCAUUUUCUUAGCUGCAUCAUGUUGUACAUCAAAAUGCUCUACCCAGCGAUGUCGUAGGCAAGGUCACUAAAAUCACAUAAUUUUAUUGAUGUAAUCAUUAUUAGACCAUGAAGGCUCAGAUGCAUCAAAUCUUCAAACAAACCGACACAAACACAAACAUUAGCAGAAAUUACCUAAACCACAAGGAAAAGGACCAAUCGAAUACUCAGCUCAAGAAGUUCAAAAAAUCAGCUAUGGACUUCACCAAAGCAAAUUUAUCAAAAUUAACUCCAAAGUAAUGCUUCUCCCAUUUAGUAGCCUGGAGAUUACUUGUACUUCCUGUUGGAUUAUUUUGAUCCAUCCAUAGAUCCAUAUAGUUCACAUUUGCACUCCUAGGAAUGCAGUAACUGAUAGUUUUCAUAAUAUAUAUGGGUUAAUUAUGAAAUAGGACAGUCACUCCAUACCAAUAUAUAUCAUCCGGCUCACUCUCAAAUUUUCGGUCUUGUUUAAAAUAUUGAUUAUUAACUGAUACAGCCUGUUAAGUUUUUGAAAAGAAAAUGUUAAAACAUACAGGUACCGUUAAAGUCAUCUACGUGUACAGUGACAAGGCAAAAAAUUUAUGGUGAUUGGGCAACAAUUGUAAAAGUCAAACAAGUCGAUUAACAAUUUAAAACAUAACAAAAUCAAAGAUAAAAGAUAAAAGAAACUACACUAAAUGUAAAUGAUGUAAACCCCUUUGUGAGAGCUCUGAGAAUCAAAGCCCUAACCCUUUGAGAGAGAUCAGAGAAUCGAAGCGGAGAAACGAUUUGGGUGUGUAACAGCAAUCCACUGCGAGGUGAGUUGAAAGGUAUAUUUUUUUCACCUUUAUGAUAUAUACAUUUCAUAUCAUAGGGCAUGUAUAUAUGUGUGUUGUGUUGUAAUCGUAUAUUUACAUUAUUUUGCUUUCAGUGUGGUUAAAUUUGAUGUUUAUGUGCACCAUCGGGGGUAUUUUGCACACCCACCCAAUGGGACUGUCGGGUAUGUUUGGGGUGUAGUUGAUAACUUAGUGGAAGAUACAGAGACCCUGGAUUUUAGUGAUUUAGAGCAUUAUACAGUUGCAUUUGACUAAUAUCGUAAAAAUUCCUUUAUUUGUUAUCAAUGUGAUGGUCAUAGCUUUGAAAAAAUGUUGGGGUUUUGUAUGAUGAUAAUUGCAUUAUGGAGAUGAUAGAAUUCAGUAAGCCAUAUGGUAGUAUAUAUUUGUAUGUUGAUCACUUUGAUUUGGAAGAUUUUGAAAUAGAGCAGGAAAUAAGAUACGAGAAAAAGAACAGAGUAUAGUGAUGAUAGUAGUGCGGAUGGCCCUGAUUUGUGGAAGAUUUCGAGGAUGAGGGGACUGAUACUGAGGUUGAGGUAGCGAAUGAAGGUGAUGUAGAAUUUGACGAGGAUGGGAAUGAUGGUGAGUUGGUAGAAAAUAUGAAAGGUAUGAAGAUGAGAAAAGCUGUAGAGGCAAAUAAAGUGAAUGCUGCUUUGAGGAAGUCUAUGGUUGAAAGAAGGAGAUGAUGGAAGUGGGGAGUCUGCAUAUCUUAGUGAUGAAAUGAGGUCACUGGCAUCUUCAAGGGAAGAUGAGCCAGUUAGGAAGGGCUAGAAAGAGCCAUCGUCAACAAAUAAUAAUAAUAAAAAAAUGCGGUGUAUAAUCCUAACAAAUGUACAAAUGGUACUAAGUUCAAUCCAGGAAUGAGGUUUGGCUCAAUGGAUGAAUUUAGAAAGGCUGUUAGAGACCAUGGAAUUUCUGAGAGGAGAGUAAUUUUGUUCAAUCACAAUGAAGUGGCAGGUGUCAAGUAGUUUGUGAGAAGAACUGCCCAUUUUAUAUAUAAUGCAGAAAACUUAAAAAUCAUGAGACUGUUGACAAUGAGGACAUUGGUUGAUCAACACAUAUGCACCAAGUCUUAUAAAAACAAGUUAGCUUCGGUUAAGUAUCUCACUGAGGUACAUGGAGAGAGCAUUAGAAAGAAGACUAACUUAGAAGAUAAAGAACAUGGUUGACACAAUCAAGAAUGAUUUAGAACUAGAAGUGCUUAAGAUAACAGUUAUAAGGGUGAGAAAAGUAGCUGUUGAGGGUGUUUUUGACCGUUUGAAGGAACAUUACUUUAGCGUGACGGAUUUUGGCCAUCAAGUCCUUAAUAAUCCAUAAAACAGAGUUUUUGUAAGUACUACAAGGAUUAAUGAGAGUGAUCUUAACAAGUUUAAGAGAAUCUGUAUUUGUUACUAUGCACUCAAGGAGGGCUGAAAGCUUGGGUGUAAACCAGUGCUCGGGUGAGAUGGGUGUUUUUUUAAGACAAUUGUGGUGGUCAAUUAUUGUCAGCUGUUGGAAGGGAUGAUAAUAACCAAAUGUACCCAGUUGCAUAUGCAGUUGUAGAAUUUGAAAAUGGUUGGUUCGUUGAGCUACUGAAGGAUAACUUCAAUCUAGGGGAUUGCAAGUAGGGGUGAGCAUUCGGUUCAGUUAACCGAAAAUCGAACCGAUUAACCGAAAAAAAUUCGAUUUAGUUUUCGGUAAGCAAAUUCUUCGAUUUUGAUUUUUCGUUUUUCAAUUUUUUAACCGCGGUUAAGUGAAAUAUUUAUACUUCUGCAGAAUAUUUAUAUUUUCAUGAGAAGCAUAGAGUAAACUUCUCCAUAUUUCGAAUGUAAACUCUUGAUGCAUUUGAAAGUUUGUUAUUUGGAUGUUUUAAAUUUGUAAUUUAAUAAGUAUAAAUUUGAAUAUUCUGAAUUUUUUGCUUUAAUUUCAAAUUUUUUAUAUUUAUGGUUAAAUCUCGGUUUUAUAAUUCGAUUUUUGGGAAUAAUUAAAAUAUUAUUUUCGGUUCGGUUACAAAACCGAAUUUAUUUCGGUUCGGUUUUUGGUAGGCAUUUUUCUGACAUUUUGGUUUUGAUUAGCUGAAUUUUAAUUUGGUUUUGUUCGGUUUUUACCGAAUGCACACCCCUAAUCGCAAGGGCUAUACUAUAAUAUUUGAUCAACAAAGGUAUGAGCUAACUUACUAUAUAAUGUCAAUUUAUGCAUUGACUCUAGGGAUGAAUGAUGUAAUUUUUAAUAAUUUUUAAUAAGGACUUGAAUUAGGGAAUAUUUUCCUAAUGUAGAACUUAGAAACUGCGGAAGACAUUGUGCUCCAAUUUUAGAAUGAGAAAAAGAUUAUGCUCUAACUGUUAUUUGAUAUGUUUUCGUUCAAAGAUUGAAUAAUGAGGUAUAUCUUCUAUGCAGGUUCAAAGCUAAUUUGCUUAGAAACCUGUUUUGGUCAAUUUCAACAGCUACACAUCCUGUAGCUUAUUAGAAGGCCAUGAAAAAAAUGGAAAGAGCAAGCAAACCAGCCUACCAAUAUUUGAUGACUAAAGACCCCAAGUCAUGGUGUAAGGCCUUCUUUACCACACAUUCAAACACUAAAAAUGUGGAAAAUAAUAUGUUAGAGUCAUUCACUGCUUGGAUUAUUAAUGAAAGGUUACAUAUCUUCAAUUGAUCAUUUAUUUGUUGUUUUGAUAUAUGUUUUGAUAUGCUUUGUAGACACCCUUACUUGACUUGUCAGGUAUAUGCCUUUACCCGAUAUGCUUCAGGAGAUUCAUUUUAAGUAAUGAAUAGAAUUACUGAAUUAAGAAGAAUAGAGAGAAUACGGAACUGAAUGAGUUGCAAACUUGUCCAAAGAUUAAGGGAAAACUUGAUCUUUCUGUGACAAAAUCAAGAGAUUGGAGGGCAACUUGGGAUGGAUUGAGGACAUUUGUGGUAUGGUUUCUAUUUGAUAUAUUUAUUUGUUCUAAUAAUUGUUAUUUUAUUUGUGCUAACUAUUUAUGGAAUUUUUCAGGUGAAAAAUGGUAUUGGGACCUUGAUAGGUGACUUGACAGAAAUAAAGACUGCAGGGUGUUUGACUUGACUAGUAUUCCAUUUGAACAUGUAGUAGCAACAUAUAAUAGACACAAAGGAGCACAGAUCUAAUCUUCAAUAUGUAUAUAAUUAAUCACCUUGAACGCAUAUAUAAUCUUGUAUAUGUAUAUAAUUCAUCACCUUUUAUCAUUUCUCCCAAAUCAUGGCUUAUCAAAUUAGAUUAUUUGGUGCUCAGUGUGAAACAAAACUACUAAUUUCUACAAUGUCACUAUAUUAUUAUAGAUGAUUAAAAAGACACGAAAUGCAUAACCAAAAUUUUCAUAUAAGGUUGAUAUCAUUUCAGUUACUUACGAGGUACCAUACAAAGCUUAAUCAAUCAUGAUUAAAUUUAAAUAUGUCUGAAAAGUGAAAACAGAUUAAACACAGUAAAUUCGGAAGCUAAGUUAUGAGUAGAUCCUAGCCCCUCAGAGUGGAGAAACGUAUGUGUAAAGAUCUUUUGGAGGAGAAGAGUAUACAAGGAGUAAAACAAUACAGGUAAAUAUCGAUAAUAAAAAUGAAAUUAAUAAAACAGUAAACAAAGCAAAGAAUAAAGUUUUAAUAGAUAUAUUGCACAGUUUUAAUAGAUAAAUGGCACAUAUAAGACAAAGCAAAUAGACAGUACAAUAUCUAGGAUGAAAAUAUAAUCCAAGAAAACCGAAUACUCCCUGUGGUACUUUGUCCAUCUCCAAACGAGAGGGCCCACUACUCCAAAUCAUCGAUCCCAUGGGUUCCUAACUAAGAUAUAGGCCCUCAACCAGAUUUAAAACUUCAGUCUAGCCUCACAUUUUCAACCCACAUCCUGACCGAUGUGUACAUUUAACUCUUACUGUACAUUAACGUUACCAAAUUUUUUACACAGGAUACUUAAACCCAGGAUCUUUUUCCUUCCUAUUCUAACCAAUAGGGGUAAUGCAUGGAUCAAUAUAUUGACGAUACAAGAAAGGAACACCAUCAACAGAUUUUACAGAAAUACAAGAAUAAAGAAUGGAAAUCCGCAUCAUAAAAACCUUGACUUUACACUCAAAUUAUAACUUCAUGCUCCAGUUCAACUAAUCAAUGUGUCCGACUUGCAUGUUUUUUAUCUGCUCAAUACAAGCUCAAGAGCUUUGACUUGUGGCUGGGUCAAGCUCUGCAUUAACAAGUAAUUGGUUGGAAGUCGGACAAAAUUAUGCAUAUAUCUAUCAGAAAAUUUAAAAAUUGCAAGCCUACUGAAUAAAAAUACUACUCAUAUACCUGGCAUAGAUGAUCAAAAUAUGGUUUGUCACUAUGAGAGAACUUCACGAUAAAAUCCACUAGAUAGCUUGUUAGAUUAAUCUGCCAUGAUUCAGUAUAAAGGUCAAAUACUCAAAUCUAUAUGGAAGAUUUGUCCACAAUAUUUAUUAUUUAAUAAAGCUUCGGGGUCUAAAGAAGACACCUUAUUUAAAGGAUCAGCACUACUUAGCAAUUCAUCCUCGAAACCAUCAUCUUGGUCCUUUUAACAAUGGCAGGGACAAUAAUGAAUAUUAGCUAUAAAUUUUUCCAGAUAUAAACAUAAGACGAACAUCGUCCGAGUGUAUUAAAAGGAUAUAUUAUUUCUGCACACCUCAUCAAAGGAUUUUGCCAUUGACUCAAGAUAGCUGUUUUUGACUCUACCAGAUAUGUUGGCACCUGCCGAAUAUAGCAUAUUUUGAUUGGUUUCAGUAUCUUCGGCCUCAACUUCUUCCCAUUCAUCAUCCUGAAACACAAAUUGCUUUAGAUUUAAGACAUCCUUAUCAAUUGGUCAACUAUUGUCAUGAGCAUUGAGAAUCAGCAAGUACCUCGUCAGCACCAGCUACAAACUGUUCUCUCAUCUCAAUAAGUGUAUCAGCCAGGAUAGCAAGUAUCUGCCAUCCCCAUGAAAUAGUUUUUAGCCAGGCAGUUUUUAGAGCUAACUAAGCUCAGGUCUAUCAUAUUACAUAUACAUUCUCAUCAAUGGUAUCCAUAUCUUUUUAUGCUAGCUAAUUUACAAUUAUUUUUUUUACAUUCCUAAUAUUUCCCAUCUUAUAUAAGAGUGCUGAUGAAAUUUUUAAAAGCAGUAGAGAGUAGAGACAUAUUUCCAGUCAAGCACAAAAGAAAGCAGGCAUAAAAAAAAAUGGAGUAUAUAGAUGAAGAAAAAUCAUCAAUAGAAGGAAAACAGGAAUAAUGGAAAUUGCAAGUUUAUUAUUUAAACAGGGAAAAUUACUGUGGCACAAGCACUGCACAGCAUGUUGGCCGGACCUAAUAUGGACCAAAUAUAGCUAUUCUUGGAUAAUGGUCUGUGCCUGUAAUUCAUAUGACACAGACAUGUAGGAGGUUAGUACAUACCUUUGCAGGGAGAGGCAUAAUUGUCCACUGAUCUGGAGCUAGUUUAGCUUUAGAGCGAGUGGUUAUUCCUGAAGUGGACUUCAUGAUUUAAAGGAAACAUUUUAAUUGCUUGAAAGGAAUCCAAUACAUGCCAAGUGCACAAGCAAAUGAAACCACACCUUAAUCAGAUGUCCUUGAACAUUAACUAUUUCCAAAUUUGCAUGCCUGGUUGAUAACAGUAAAGCCAAAGCAGUGGUGGUAACUAUUAUUUGGUAUGCCCCCUGUAUUUCUCCUGUAUUAAGCAGUACUGAGACGAUUAUAAUAUUUCUUAUAUAGACAUAUUUUAUGUAUCUAUGGUAUAUAUACAACCAGACAGUCAACAGUUUAGGAAACCGAUACUCAUAAAUAUCGUUUCUUUCUUCUUUUUUAAAAGUUAUCAAGCAACAACUACACAAAUAAACUUUUGAGCAAUGAGGUAGUUACUGCACUACUUCAGUAAGCAGAUUUAGCAUUUAAGAGAUGGUAGAAUAAAAAUAAAAAAUAACUGAUAAAUAUACCCGUUUUGUGAUUAACUAUGAAACACCAAGUCACCAAGCACUAGAAUGCCUAAUUAAACUCAUAUAAACAACAAUCAGCAAAAAAUCAGUUGUAUCAUGAAAAAGUGAUGGCCACUAGAAUAUUUAUGUGUGAAACAGGAUACUAAGAAGCAAGUUAUCGAGGACACAGAAUAAAUAAAAAUAACGAUUUCAUGAACAAUGCUUGCCUUGCUGCUUUGACCAUUCGGACAUCACAUAUGCAAAAGCAUUAUAAUGGCCCUCAACUGGGACUGAGAUCAUUAGAUCAAUAAAUUGCUCCACUUGUGGUACACUUAUAUGAACCUGCAGAAAUAGGGAAAGUUAAAUAUCGAUUUUCUUAAAUGCUUUAACAUCCUAUUGCAGAUAGAAAGAAGGUUGGUACAAAAUCCAGAUCAUUGUUCUUUUUCCGAAGAAGUCUCUUGUAAAGACCAAGUGUCUUCAAAUUAUUACUCUUACCACAGAACAAGUGGCAAGCCUAAAAUAAUAAUCGGAUAAGACAAAAAAAAAUAAAUUAAAAUAGUACAUAAUGUACGGUAAAUUACCUGUCCUCCUAAAACCUCAAGUUGGAGGAACUAACAUGUUCAUAUUAUAUAUUCUAACACUCCCCUUACUCGAAAGCCCAUAUUUGGGGUAAAGAUACGAUGUUAUGAUACCACUUUCCCAAGACCUCAAGGUGUCAGGAGUUAACUGGAUGAUUUAUUAUAUUCUAACAUGUAUGAUGUUCCGUUUUUAUCAAAUUAAGAAUGGGAUAUCAGUGCUUCACGACAAUUUAAGUUUAAAUAACAGGAAUUGAAGCUAUCACAAAAAGUUGAUAAUAUACCAGUCUAGCAAAUAUAAGUAUUAAUGAGCUUUUCAAUCCUGCAAUUUGACAAGAUUGCAUGCGCCUAACAAGAGCAGCUACCAGGUCUCUAAUGUGCUGUGCCAUUUGUGAUGGCAGAUGUAAAAUUAGUUGCAGAAUGUAACUUGCAACAAAGAGCGACCCUGAGCUUUCCAGAUCAGGGUUGAGAAGCCUGCACAAUCAUAUGUUGUCCUUGUUGAUAAGCCAAUAAAUAACAAUCAAUAUAAAUUAAGAGAUAUAUAUUAUAAACUGCAAAAAUGAUAAUAAAAAACCUUGCUACUUAUAUUAGAUUAAAAUAGACUACUGUAAAAAAAUCCAUAAGAUGAAAUCCAAAAACGUCCUACAAAAUUAUGCAUUCCAAACUUACAGAAAGAAGAUCCAAGAAUACCACCUCCUUGACAUUAAAUGCCAAGAAAUGUUAUAUAAAUACACACACACACACACACACACACACAUAGGGAUAGGAUCAAAUAAAAACUUUUUUAAGUUACAAACUUACAAACUUUUUUUUGAAUUUUUUAUUAUUCUCCCAUCGUGUUAAUCCUUAGUUAUAGAAAGUAUCCAUGUUGAAAUUUCUUGAAAAAACAUCAGAAUUUUUAUAAAUUACGCAUAAAUAAAUCGUGCAUUCAACAUAUUUGUAACUCGUUAAAUAUAGGAAAUGAUACCAAUUAUAUGUACAAUAAUAUGACACUGAAUGAGUGAGCGGCCAAAGCAAGUGUUGGAUUCUGCUAUUUAAUUAUGGCCAAACUCCACAUCAAGCUUGAAAAUUUCUUGAUCCUAAAUUCGGGUCUCGUAAUUUAGAAAGACACACACAACAUGAAUCUACAUCAUUAACUUUUCUCAGAAAACGGAAAGAGUCAGAAAGACAGAAAUCACCUUGAAGCUACAUCAAGCAAACUCUUCAUGGUAAAUACCGGGUCACCUCCCCAAGAAAGCAAAUCUUCUUUUCCGCAAUACAAGAAGGCAGCUAAGCACUGAGUUGCAUUCUGCCAUCAUUACAGGAACAUAAUGAAUAAUUACAAUAUAAAAAAAAUAUUCAAUAAUCACAUCCCUGCCGUGAAUUUAACAAAUCUGUACACAGUACAAACAAUAACCUGCAUUUCACUAUGGUCGUCACUUUGUAGGACUAUGCGUACCACAGGAUCAAAGGAAACAUCAUAAACUGCUUUGACAACAUCACUAGGGGCAUUCUGAUGCAUUUUACAGAAAAUAUUAAUUAGUUCAAACUGAGAAAACAAGAAAGACGGCCAUAAAUAUAUCUAGAAACAAACAUGGGUGUGAACUCCAAUUAUAAAAAAGCUAAGACAUUGUAUCUAGAAACACACGUAAGUGUGAACAACAGUUAUGGUAAGUCUGAGUCACUGUUUAGCAAUAAGAAAAGUGCAAAUUCUAACUCACCUUCAACAACAUUGCCACAAGGUCAAGUGAACCAGCAACCAAACCAUCAGGUUGUUGUUGAGGCUGAAACAAUGUCAACCAAAUGCAUUACAGACAACCCACUUUAAAAGAGAUAGAUUCAAUCAAAUUUGAGUAAUAUGAGAAACCAUACACGAUUAAGGAUUGGUCCAAUAUAAGGCAAAAUUCGAGAAACCAGGGGAUGUAUACAUCCAGGAGCAUUUUUUAUUGCCUGGAAAAAAGAAAGAUUAAACAAGUAUUUAGUUCAAUGAAACACAGAAUAUAUAGUACCCCAUUGAAAACCAUGACUGCAUAUAUACACAGAGAUCCACGCAAUCUCCCUCAAAAAGUAAAAUAAUCCAAACAAUCUAUUUAACUGAAUAUUUAUAAACCGCCAGGUGGCGAGUAUAGUAGUUCUUAUAGGAAGAUUACUUCAUGAAGAAAAGAAUAAACCUACGAGUAGAAGCAACAGAAAAGAAUUAUGAAGCUAUCCCGAAAUAUAGCCAACUAUAUAAAAUCUAAAUGAAAUAUUUGUGUACACUGUUUUCCUUAUAAUUAAAAUUUUGGAAAUUAUUAAUGGUACCAUUGUGGUAUUGGCUUCUAUGAAUGGUACCAUUUCGUGUUUUUGACUUACAAGCGGUACCACUCAGUUUAUGAUCCGUUAACGGUACUACCAUUCCGUCCAUUAAAAACGUUAGUUGACCAUAUUUAUUUCGUAUUUUCCUUUAAAAAACACAAAAAAUACAACUGAUAUCCGUAUUUUUUCUUUGCGUUCUUGAGUUCUUCAGCCCGGGAUAUGAUGGUCUGGUGAAGGCCACAACAGCAGCAAGGCAGCACUUCAGCCCAGACCAACAAAGACAACUGGUCAUUCAGGCCCUUGAUAAAGCUUUCCUAAGCCCAUCCUCUCUUUAGUGAGUUUCUUUUGGUCGCCAACCAUCCUCAUCUCUCUUUCUCUNGCGGCUCGUUGGAAAUAAAAGGGCCUGAGCAGUGGUAUUGAGGCUACUGUGGGUGCUUGUGUUUAUAUAUCAGUUGUGUUGUUUAAUGUAAUCGUGAAAGGUUAGAUAGAGCUCGUCUGAAGCUUCGAUUUGGUUACUCAUACUCUUAAAACGGACACCGGCAACAUGAUCAAAAAGUUGUUUAAUCUUCAAGAACUCAAGAACACAAAGAAAAAAUACGGAUAUCAGUUGUAUUUUUUUUUUAAAGAAAAAUACGAUAUAAAUACAGUCAACCAACGUUUUUAACGUUUUAAUGGACGGAAUGGUAGUAUCGUUAACGGAUCAUAACCUGAGUGGUACCGCCUGUAAGUCAAAAACACAAAAUGGUACCAUUCAUAAAAGCCAUACCACAAUGGUACCAUUAAUAAUUUCCCUUCAAAUUUUUGUUGCAUUCAACAGAAACUAUGAGGCAACAGUAUGUGUAAACACUUUCUUGCAGAUCUUAAAGCACAAAAAGAAAUGUGAGAGCGGCAUGUGAGGGCCUAAGGGGAUAUCUAAAAACUUAAAGACUGAUAUUAUCGACAAUUUCUAUAUUAUGAUCACCUCCAGUAUCUCAAGAGCAUCAAUGCUAACGAAAGGGUCUGAAACAUGCAAAGCCCACAUGCCAAGGAUGACAGGAGAGAUAAGUGGCUCAAUCGAUGAGAACUCUGUUGACUCAUGGCCUACAAGAAUGAAAAGAGAGAAAAAAAAGGUAAAUAGCAAGUAAUGGCAAUAAGCUAAUAACUCGUGCAGCAAAAAACUAAGACAAUGAUAUACAAAGAAAGAUUAUAUUAUCCAAUACCGACCUGCCUCCACUCCAGCUUGCAGUGUUUCAAGUACCAGAUGCAUUGUUUCAUCAGAUGCCUAGGAAGCAGAGCAAGAGUUCAACAAUUAUCCCAAACAAUAAGAUGAAAAUGAAUAACAGCUAUAUCAAGGUGCCACACUAACCUGCUUGAGAAGAUCUAUAAGUGAUGAAAAUAGAUUCACAAAAUGAGGCAGAAUAGUUACAAUAUUUGCAUCAGGCAAUAGCUGUGUAAGUGCUCGACAAGCACCUACUUUGACAGGAGGGGGCCUACAAGGAUAGCAUUAACUUAUGAAGACUUGAACGACUUCCAAUCCUACAAAACAUAGUAUUGAGAUAGACACUUACACAUCGAGGCCGAUUGUCUUGAUAGCAGCAUAAAGGAACUGCUCAACAAUAUCAUUAUUGAUCUGGAAAAAUGGGUGGAAGAUUUGAAAAAGUUUCUCAAUACAACUUGAUGGAAGAAUAAUUUAAGAUGCUUACCACAGUUGAGAAGUUAGCAACAGUUGAAAACAUGCGAGCAUAGAGAAAUGGAUAUUCAUGUACCCCUGCAUAGAAAACAAUAAGUACUCCUCAAGGAGUUAACAAUGUGAACAUCUUAGUGGAACCAAAAAGAGCACCUGUUGCCAUGUCCUCUGAAAGUAUUUGCUCUAAGAGGUUCCCUAAAGUGCAUCCCGGAAGCAGAGAAAUCUGUACAGAAUGACAUUCACUAAGAUUUUCAGAGACAACAAAACUUAAUAUACACCCUUCAAAAAGGGGAAAACUACUGUAAACUACGCUACCAAUAUUCAAAAUUGAAGCUCACUAUAUCAUAAAAAUAUUAAUGCUUAUAAAGAUAUUAUCAAUAAAUGUCACACCUCUUGUUCAGACAGUGAAGUCAAAGCCAGAAGAUUUGCCUCUCUCAUCUGAAAAAUACUUUUGGAUGAGACAGAAUAGAAAUAAUUCAUGCUCAUAAAAGAUUGUCUAUGUCAAGUAAUCUAAUACAAAUCCAAGUGAGAGCUAUAUAAACUUACCGUGAACAAAUGAGUCACUACCUUACUCCCCUCCUAUUUAUUAUAUCAAUUUGGUAUCUGUCCAAUUAUAAGCAUUUUUGGGUUUCUAAUUAAAGACCUUUAUUCAAAUUUGGGCUAUGAUAAAGUUUACUCCGCCACUAAGCUUUCAGACUUCAAUUUCUCACCUUGUACACUAUUAAAAUCAUUGAAGACUCAAAGUAAAGAUAUGACUAUGCUACUUCAGUAUUGUGAUUGCUUGUUUUAAGGCACUAUCAACAGCUUGAAUAGAGAAUAAAUCAUGUUGAGAAGUGUCCUUUUAAAGAUUCAGGACACGCCAACAAGUCAACAACAUAACCUAACGUUCAGGUUCUAAGAUGAUGUUUGUAAAAUUAGUUUAAUCUCGGUUCCUUUUGUGGAUAAAGAUGCCUGACGUCAUCAGUAAAAUGCGAAAAGUUUGAAAAAGCUAUUUGGCCCGCAUUAAUGUUCUUAUUUUAUCUUUUAACUUACUCUCCACCAGCCAGAAGAACCAGAAGCCUUCUCCUGUUGAGAUUCAACAAAGCGUUUUCUAGCUGCUUCCACUAUAGCAUGAAUUCCCUCUGUACCACAUGAGCUAAUAAUUUCUUCCAGUAAAAGGGAACCUGCAAAAAAGAUAUAAAAGCAUUAGACAUGUAUAUUUGCCAUAAAAGCAACAGUAACCAUCGGAUAGAGGCAAGAUAUCCUGGUUAUGACAUGCAUCUUACAGUGAGAAAACAAAAAAGGUUUUAUCACUUAUUAGUAAACUAAAAUACUAGCUUCUUUCGUCAAAAAAAAUAAAAAAUACUAGCUUCUGGAGAUACAAUAAAACAUACCACCUUAUCUACUAUGUCUUUCUAGUACUCCAUUAAACCAAAACAAAUCAAACAGGAUUGUGGCCGAACUCAUGUUAACUCUAAUCCCACCUCAAGAUAGCAUUUAAAUAUUAAAAGGAGUUUAUAUCAAACUGGCCGCUCCUUGCACUCAAAUGUCUCACUUGACUUGCUGUUCUCAACCGGAGCUCAUUUAAACCACUUAAUUACUAUACAUAUCACUCCAAUACAUUGCUCGAAAAAUAACUAAAAAUAUGAUAAAAUGGAGGCCAUAUGCUGAUGUGGCACUUCAAGUAUUACUAUUUGACAGAGAAAACAUAAAUAUAACAAUUAAUCUAGAGCACCAAGUGUCAGUUCUGUCACUUUUUCCGUUUUUUUAAGAAAUUUAAUUGAAUAUAUAUGUGGUGAUUUAAGUGGUUUAAACAAGCUCCCAUUGAGAACGGUGAGUUAAGUGAGACAUUAGAGUGCAAUGAGCGGCCAUUUAAUAUAAACCCCAACAUAAAAUAAAAUACCCUCAACUUUUGAUAAAUGCAAAUACAGAUAGUGUAAAAAAGCACUUCAACAACGUAGCCAAAUUCCUUUUUGCUGCAACAUUGUGACCCAUAACCCACAUAAUACUCUGUGAAUGUGAACAAUCAAAGUGAUAUGGACUAAUAGAUAAAGCAUAAACAUGAAAAUGUCAAUGUCACAUAUCAAGAGAUGGGAAAGAUUCGAUAAAUGUCAAAUAAAUUCCAGGACAAAAUAACAUGAAUUGCAUAACCAAAGGAAUCUCAAACGAAGGUAGAACAGAUUUUGAACCGCAGACCUACUUUUGGAAAGAUUAAAGUCAUGCAUUUACUUACCAGAAACACGGCAACUAUAGGUAUUUUCAUCCUCAUCUGCAACAUACUGGUUCGCAUCAAGUGACCAAGUAUGAACCUGGAAAAGGGUAUGACAUUCAUAUGCUUUUAAAUGGCAUACCACAUAUUUGAUGAAAACAGAAAUGAUAUAAACAUAUGAUCUAUACCUGUUGUUCAGUCAUUUGAAGAAAAGCUAUAGUGUAAUACACCAAUUCACUGAUAUUGUUUCCAAGAAUCUAGACAAUAUUUGUCAUUAUAAGUAUUAUUACAUAUAUACGCCUGUAAUGACAAUAUUAGAUAAAAAUCACUUGAGCAAUUACUUCAUUCAGUAGAAAUUCAGAGACAUACCUUUACAAAUCUUGGACUACCCACAAUGGUCAAGAGGAACUCAAAUAACUGCAUGAUAAGGUCCUCAACAGUAUAAGAACAGAACCCUAAGCAAAAAAACAGAAACAAUUGUCGAUUGCUAAUGGCCAAAGCCAUGCCAAAGCCAUGAGUAACGCAACAAAUUUUCUGCGUCAGUGGCAGGAGCAUAUAACCUCCAAGGUUAUUUGAAGAGCUAGAAACGAUAAAAAUUUUCUAAUAUUUUAUGCCUGUAAUCUUAACAAAUUUUAUUCACAGAGGCAACUACACUGACCAAAUAGAAGAUUAAUAUCUUAAAAAAAUCGACCCACCUGAAUAAUGAAUGACUCGAGGCUUUUCUCAGCUCCAUCAGAGUCAUAACGCCCAUCAUAGGAAUCAUCUAAACCUUCAAGUGCUGAUCGUUCAUACACUCUAAGUGAGGACACAAAUGUCUGCCAUAUUGGCCCCAUAAUUCCUGAGACAACAUAUUAUCUCCAGGUAUAAAUUACUCCUAUAGCUAGCAGAAGAUUUUACUCCUAAAUUAAAAAUAUGCUAAAGCCACGAGCUUACCCAUAAAUUGAGAUUCAAUAAGUCCUGGGAAAUUCUGAACAAACUGAUUCAAGCACUUUAAGACCUGAUGUAUACUUAACGUCAGAAUCAUGGUCCUGGUAAAAUUACAUAAAUGAAGCUAUCAGACACAACCUCCAUUCUUAUGCUCCAAUCAUCUGGAUCUUCAGGUUGAACUGGUAUGUCAAGAAUAGAAGAAAACUGAUCCAUCCAAGGUUUAAGCAUCGGUAACAAUAAUGCACUGGUUUCAGCCUACAAGUGUAGAUUAACAAAUUAUAAUUUAUUAAGAAAGAAUAGAUUAAUAUAAACCCGAGAAUUUCUAAACUAAAUAGCAAGAGACAGUACCUUGUAUACGCCACUCAUAACCCCCAGCAUAGAGGUACAAGAAUAAAUAAUUGAAAGUGCCCUCGCACGCAAUUGUUUAUCAUAAACCUGCAUAAGGUAUACAUUCAUGUAUUAAUAAUAAGUAAAAGUAUAAUCUGAUUUCACAAAAUUUUGUUUUUAUAAGCAUUAUAAUGUGCUAUUGUAUUAUUCUACAAUUAUAGUGUUCAUACUCAUUGUUAUCAAUCUAUAUAUCUAGAUAUCAAUAUAUAACAAAAUUGAUGAUUACUUUCAUUUUCUUUAUUUCUGACCACCCUUACUAAAUAUUUCAUUAUAGAUCUUAAUCUACUCAUUAAGAAGCACGAGUAGAAUUUAAACGUAUACUACCUCAGUUACUCUUAUGAUUACAUCACUCCACAAUAUCUUAUAUAAUUUAGUAUCUCCUUACAAAGAUGAUGCAUAAUAGUUACACUUACCACAAACUCACUUUCCCUUCCUAGUCCACUUAUUCAUCUCAUAUUCUCUCUUAAAUCAUUUUAAUCUUCCAAAUAUUAUAUUUGUAAAUGUAUUUUGUUAUUUAUCUCAAUAUUUUCUACAUCAAAAUAUUAAUAGUUAUGAUUCACUACAUCUAAUUAUGAAUUAAUAUUAAAUGGCAUUUUUUGAUUUUUUGAAUAUCAAAGGUAUAAAUAACAAAUAUAUUAAAUUCUUCUCUCUAUCAAUCUCUACAUGUUACAAACCAAAUUAAGGGUAGUCCUUUAUAAGGGCCUCAAAUCCAGUCACUAAACAGAAAAAAUUGCUUUAGUGGACCUACAUAUAAUGAAGAGAUAGAUGCAUAUUAGACUGACCUGAGGAGAUGAUACAAUUGUAUACAAACACGGAAAUAGAACUGGCACUAGUGUGGGGGCAACUGUAUCAUCCAAGUCUGAUGAAAGAAGCGCCAAGCAUCUUAGAGCCCCGUUAACUGUGUAAAGUUAUCAAUAGAGUUUAUAAAUGUUUCAUGGAUAUCAUCACCUUCAUUAUAAUCAUAUGAAGCAACAGCGUGAAAAGACCAGAGUGAAUUUAUAUCAUGAAACCACAUUUUACAACCUAAAGUCAUCAAAUGUAAUAUUCUUAUACCGAGCUAAAUUCUAAUUUUCUUUAAUCCCUACUUGGUUGUUAGUCAAUUAAUAUAAAACAAAACACAAAAUUAAAAUAUCUUUCCUAUUAAUGUUCAACAAUAUCAUAUAACAUCAUACUGUUGAUAUAUGACCAGCCAUGGGAUAAAGCAAGCAGACACAACCUCAUGAUAAGAAGAUAGGCAUCAUGUGAAUAUCUUCGGUUUAUUACUUUAUCGCAUAUAAAGAAACAAUUAAUUAUUUUUCCACAAGAGAUUACAUAUCUUCAACAUCAAAAGGAGUGUGACAUUUAAGAUGGGUCAUCUCCUAACUCCUGUCAAUACCCAAUAGUAUACAGACGAAUCAAAUAAAUUUUAGAUAAAGUGUAGCGCUGCUACAUCAUAAUGAUGAAAAACACAAACAACCAAUUACUCUUGUUUGAUUUAUUUUUUUUUAACUGAAGGAUUGAGUUAUGGUCAUGCUAAAAUGUUUCCUGAACACUUUUACACAUCUAGCAGUACAUUAAGUCAUUCAUAUGGUCCAGAACUGAUGUCAAAACAAACUGCCGAAGAGAGUUCAUAACAUAGACAAAAAAAUAAUCUCAACAAAAAAUAUUAUGAAUUUUUUUAUAAACGGCUACAACAGAUUAUGCGGGACCAACACAAGGAAGAACAAUACAUAUAAUGUAUACUCACGUGAGAGGGAUAAAAUCAGUGUUGUUCAUGGAGAAAAAUCCUAAUAAGCGCAAGACCUAAUUGUAAAGCGUGACUAGCAAAGCACCAUUAAUCGCGCAAUUUUUUGACUUUAAAAAAAAGCAAAAAAAAAAAAAAGAGAAGAUAAUAACAUAUUUUAUCAAGAAUAUAUUACUUAUUAAAUUCGUAACUUCUAAACAUAGCAGAGCAUGUCUAUUAUAAUAAAAAUAUCAAUUGUAAACCAUCAAUCAAUGAUCUUCAACAAUUCAAAAGCUUUGCAGUCAUUUAGCUCAACUUCCGGCCCUUCAAAUUCUCAUUCUUCCUCUUCUCUUCUAUGCUUGUUAUGUACAAUAUUUGGGGAAGAUUUGAAGAUAGAGUUUAUUUUAUUCCCCCCUCCCCCUUUUAAGGGUACUCUUAACCUUGUGCACUUUUAGCGCAAUUAAGCGCAUCUAAGCACAAAGCGCAAUUAAUCGUGCAAUCAAGCGUGCCUUUAACAACACUGGAUAGAGUUAAUGUAUAUAUUGAAGCUUUAUAUUUAAUCAUUAAGUAUUCAUUUUUAAAUAUAUUUGAAGAACUAGCAUGCUUUAUAGUCAAAGGGACACCAGAAUAAUUAAUUUAAUUUGAUUUUUUGAAACAAAAAAUAUUUACAUUAGAUAAAAGAUACCUGCAUUUAAGUUAGUUUGGUCAUUUAUCAACUUCAAGAGGAACGGUAGCAAGUCCGGCCAAUCUUCAGGCCAGUCAUAAUGUGCAACUGAUGCAACAGCCAUACUAAUUGCCGUGCAUAUCUUCUUAUGGUUAUCGUCAAGUGACAGCAGGAGAAGACUUCUUAUGGUUUCCUGUACAAUGAUUUAAACUCAAGGAAAGAAUUUAUGUUUCAUAAAAUAAUAGCUCACCAGCCAAUAGUUUAAGAUAAACAAAUAGAGAGUAGUAAAACUAAAAAAAAUAUCUAGCAAUCAGCACUACCAUGGAUAAUAUUACCUUUUCUUGAAUAGAGACCACUGGAUGUUCGAAAUUUUCCUCAUUCUCCUGCCAAUGUUUUUUAACGAACUGCUUUAAAAGAACUGCAGCUAGGUAUAACAUGUUAAUUCUAACAAGGAACGGAAACGGAACAAAGAACAUUAACCCUACAAGUUUUGUAACAUUCCGGUUAACUAUUUUCUAUAAAACAAAAUGCAACUAACUGAAAUUUGAAAUACAUAAAAAGAUUAAAAUUCUUGUGGCCCUAUGGAGAAUUGGUCAGAAAUCCACAAUAGAGUCCGACCACAAUUAAUUGACAAAAUCACAAAAGGAUAUCUGGCGUGCUCCUAAAGGAAGCUCCCUAUUCCCGGCAAUCCUGCACAAUGCACUCCCAAAACCUUCAAAAGAAACAACAAACCUUAGCUCCAACUCAUACCAUCGGCCAGCUGUUUAGCUAAUCAAGACGAUCUUACUAAAUUAACACGUCCUACAACACCAAUUAGCCUUAAGAAACAUUGUUACAACACAAAUUUGGUAAAGUAAAAUAUACACAACAAGUACUCUACAGUCUUCACACAAACCAUUUAAUCAACAGUCCUCCAAAACUAGUUUAGCAUAAUAAGCGGUCCUCCGAAAUUCAUCAAUUCGUAAACAAUACAACACUAAUUACACCUCAUUAUAUAUCCAAUCUAAAAUAUUAACAAUUAAACCAAUAUGCAGACCACGCGCAGUAAAAUUACUAAACUAACAGUCUCGAGGACACGAGAAUCUUUCUCAAAUGUCUAUGGCUAAAAAUACACUGUGUUAGUUCCAUUGGACCGAUAAUUUCAUCGAAAAACCUGGUUGGACGGAGGCCUGAUUGAGCGACGUCUCAGCGAAAGAUCGAACUUGUUGAUUAGUGUCAAGAGUAGCGUUUAAGCAGUUGAGUAGCCAGUGUUGAUCUUGAUCCACCAUGAUUGACUGAGAGUGUUGGUUUUAGUGUGUGUUUUUAGUGUGUGUUUUGGAGAAAUGUGCGGCAAAUUGGAGGGAGAGUGUUUGUAAUUGGGGGAGUAUAUAUAGAGUUAGGGCUUUUAGAGGGGAUGAUCGGACCGGAUCCCGGUUCCAGUAAUUAGCUUUUUGGCCGUUCCAGUAUGUUCUGGUUUUGUUCGUCUAAACCCGGUUAAAAUAGUGUGGAAAACAAUUUUAAUUAAUAAUUAAUUUGUUGAAUGGAUAUUACUAAUUUAGAAAGAAAAUUUAUUUUGUUAAUUAGAUUUUACUAAUUUAUAAAAUUUGGUGUUCAAUUCUUGUUUGAUUAGUUUAAAGUUUUUUUUAAUCUUGUUUUGUUUACAUUUCAUAUAGUAUUAUAAGAUUUAUUAUAUAUUUGAAUCAUUUUAAGUUAAUAUAGAAUUUUUUUGCGUUAGCCUUGGUCAAGAUUCAAAGCGAUGCUUAACUUAAAUUAAAAAAUAUUUGUUUUUGAUUUAUCAUGGAAUAAAUUGAUGUCAAAACAAUAUUUUUAAAUUAAAAUUUUAUAUUUAUAUUUUUAAAUAAAAUUUAUAUCAUAAUAUAUUAAAUUUAUAUGUUACUCUCUCCGUCCUCUUUUGCAUGCCCAUUUUGAUUUUCAAGAGUCAAAUUGACCCUUUUUUGAUCAAACAUUAUAAAUAAUCUAUUCAUUAUCUUUAAAUAUUAAAGUUGCAUAUUUAUUUCCAAAAAAGUUGCAUAUUAAAAUAGACUAAAUAUAUUUUUUUAUUAUUUUUUAAUUACAUGGUACAUACAAAUUUCAGUUAAUAUAUAGUCAAUUUAGCCGGUCAAAAGUCGAAAUGGACAUGUAAAAGGGAUCGGAGGAAAGAGUAAUUUAAAGUCAAGAUAAAUAUUAUAUAUAAAUUUAAUUUUUUUGUUUAUUGUAAAUUAUAAAUCAUUAUUUUUAAAUUAAAGUAAGUAUAUUAAAAUUAAACAAUAUAUGGAAAGAAAAAACGACUUAUGUCUAACAUUUCCAACUGUUAGGACACUAACUGAAUAAAAUAACAAAAUUUAUCAGCUAAAUUCCAAGUUUGGACUUGUUUAUGGGUAAAAGAAUAGUGGAUCAACAUCUUAAAAUUACUUAAAGCUAUACAUGAAAAAACCAAGUGCCUAAGAAAAUCUGCAGAGUGCCAAACUACAACUCUUGUACUUAAAACUAACACAAUUUCACUCCCACAAGCACUCAAGAGCCUUGCCUAGUUUAUAGUUUCUUGGCAUCUUGGCCUUGAUACGCCACCCUGAUUUUCUCCUCAAAAAGUGUGGAGGAAAAGCAUUUUGCACUGAAGAUUUAGCAUAAAAACUACCCUUAGCUUUAGAAUCAGCAAUCUUAAAUGGCUGAUACGUGUCGUUAGGAUGAAAUGGUCUUGGAUUUACGUCUUUAAUAUGACUGUAGCAACGGCAAGUAGUCAUGUCUUUUUUCUUUGAACAAGCAAUCUUCAUGUUCUGAGGGAAAGGCAGAGCAGUAAGGUAAGGAUUCCAGUCUCUGCACAAUCCGAAGGUUCAUCUUGGAUGACCAAAUAACCUGAAUUUGGACCCUCGGGUAGUACUCUGAGAGAUUCUGGAUUAUUUUUAUAAUGAGAGAAAGGCCUGGUCACAUACAUGGAUACUUUUUUCUAAUAAUCCCUAGUGCUACCUUGAUAAUAUAUAUGUAGUUUGCACAACAGAUCUGUUCUAUUCAAAUUGUUUGAAUAAGUAAAACAAGCUCUAAGAAAAUGAUGUUAUAUUGCUUCUCCUUUUUUUGAUAAUUACUUAACACAAGUCUUGACAAUAUAUAACUGAUCUUCUAAUUUCGUAUUAUCAGUCAAAACCAACAAUUUAUCUUACAUUUUAAAGCAAAAUUGAAUUCUCGACCUUUGGUUAUCAACUAAGAACAAAGUGCAUCGGCUAAAUUAUAAUAGUGACCGUACAGGCACACACAAUGACAGUUUGCUUAGACAGGCCUUGGCCUAUGCAAUUACACUCGUCAGAAAUAUGCUGCCAGUUAUUACCAGUAAUCCCGCGGCUAAAUCCUUUUUGCCUCUUCAACGUGCAAAGACAAUAAAAGAUGUAGUUGCAAAGUGAUUUUUCAUUCUCAAAAGACUUCUUCAUAUGAAUUAUGAGGUUUACUAAUCUAACCUCUAAUAUCUGUAAUUUACUAGGCUCUGUAAAACAAAUCCUGGACACCCUGUGUUUAAAAGAAUCAUAAGGCUCACACUGUGUUUUAGUCUUGAAUGCAACAUUUUUACUUAUUUUAGAUAUGUUAUAUUGUCAUAGCAUUGCAAUUGCAGUUAGAUCCAGACUUUUAACAUGUUACAAACUUUUAACAUGUUAAUAGAAGAGCAGUGGAUCAUUUAGCUAAAAGAACUAAUAAUAUACAAAGCUAAAGAUUGUAUGACACUGCGAAAUCAAGAGAAGGCAAAUUAGUUAACUAGAAAGAUCACAGAGACUUUAACUAUGGCACAUCAGAUAAAGCAACUAACAGAACAUCACUCCCACAGGCACUUGAGUUGUUGCGUAUGCUUGAAAUCAUAAGUCAUAACCAAACUUCCAUUCAUUCUUUUUAACACAAACCUCUCCACCAAAACAUAGCAUCCAAACUUCCUCCAUCCUUCAGCACCUCCUCGAAACUCCUCCACUUUAUGCACCCUCACUUACCUUUCACCUCCACCAACCCAUCCAACCGUUUCUUCCUCCCAUUUCAUUCUUUCUAUAAUCUCUGAACUCAAUCCGAUGCUUACUUCUCUUUUGCUCCCAGAGCCUUUAAACCACUUAGUUUUACAGCUUCUAUCCACCAUUUUCUUUUCAUCCCACACAGCCUUUGUGCCUCCAAUCAUUACAACUUCACUUUGAACAACGGCAUUAACCAUUACAACAAUGCCAUGAUCAAUAUUGCUGCACUCAAAUAUCUGCUCCCAGCUUUGCUCUAGUGUCAUCUCAUAAAACAUUGACUUUUCCAUCUGAUCUCUUGACGUCAACCUUCCAUCCUUAAUGAACAUGAAAGGGCAAUACCAUCUCCCCACCACAACAGCUUCUGAACUCUUACGAGACAGUGGAAAGCUCAUGACAGGAAGGUGUGCACGAAGAGUAGAGUCGACACCUAAAGCCUCGCCUAAUUUAUAGUGUUUUGGAGUUUUAGCACUUAUAUUCCAUCCUCUAGUUCUCAAAAAGGAUGGAGGAAAAGCACCCUGAGCUACAGAUUUCGCAUAAAAACUACCCUUAGUUUCAUAAUUAACAAUCUUGAAUUGCUGAUAUUUGUCGCAAGGAUCAAAUGGUCUUGGCUUUACAUCUUUAACAUGACUGCAGAAACAGCAAGUAGUCAUGUCUUCUUCCGUUGAACAAGCAUAAGCCUUCCUGAAAAAUAAAAGGAGACAAAUCAAACUAUGAGCAAAUAUUAUAUUGACACAACCACACAAGAUCAAUUUUCUUGGUUUAAACACAUACCCUUUAUGCUUCCCAUAUGCAUCAAUCACGUAGUACCGCUUUUUGGACAAUGGUUGAUUAAGAACAGGAAAAAAGGCAAGAUUGUGAUGAUAUGUGUCCUCUCCUGAUGAAUAUCUAGUAGUCAAGUUUUUGUCCUGAGGGAAAGGCAGAUCAUUAAGGUCUGUGUUCUUACACAACCCGAAGCAACUAUACAUCUCAGAUUCUUCAUCUUGUAUUACUAAAUAACCAGAAUUUGGACCCUCAGGAGGCAAUGAAAGAGACUUUGAAUUAUUUAGAUAGUAGGAGAGAGGCCUGGUCACAUACAUUGUUACUCUUUCUACUAAUCUUCAGUUAAGUGCUAGCUGAAAUAGCAUGUAUACAAAAGGUUUGGGUCAAUGAUCAAUACUAGCUGCAACGAAGCAUAAAAUAGACCUUAAUCUUAUUCGAAGAUGUUUCUUUUCAAUGAUAUUUAAUUUUGCACACUUGACAUUAGAAUCAAGAAGAUUUAUUCAAAUCUCAUUGCAUAAAGUCUUGAAAACCUACCCAGUGAUUCUUUUCUAUGCUUAAUUAUAUGUUAGGUAUCUUGUUUUUUUUUAGUAAUUUAGCAGAAGACUACUUGGAUGCUUCCUUUAAGUUGACUAUUUUAAUUUCCUCCAGUUUGUAGAUAAAUGCAAGAUGGAGUAAUUUCUGAAACAGUAUCAACCAGAAGACUUCUGGGAAAACCGGUGACUUUCUUUUCUGUAAAAUGUAAGGUCUAUUUUUUUUUUGCAUUACUGAUCUCACUUUAACAUAGAUAAUAUAAAAAGGAUCACUAGUGAUUGUUGUAUCAAUCUGUCAGUGGUUUUUUAUAGCUGAAAGACAUUACACUUGAUUUUUUAUGUGAAUGCAGGGGCCACAACACCCUAUCCGCCGUUUAAACACCCAUUUUAGGAAUUUUCUCUUUAAGCUAUAAAAAGGCUGGAUGGAUUGUUGUUAAUGAUCAAUUGAUAGGAACCAUCUCCGUUGUAAAUAUAAAUUUAAAUGACUCGUUAUUUUUUUAAUUGAAAGUCAGACAGACCUGUAGCAAUUUUUUUCCAAAAUCAGGUUGUUGAUUACAAAAUAUCAGCAGGUUCAAGCUUAUCAUGCAUCCUAAUGAGUCGGGUACCAAUCCAUUCAAGAUUGCAGAGUCCUUUGAAGGGGUAUACUGAUUGUGGUUCGCUGCAUUUGGUGGAUAAAAAUAUCACAACACGCCGUUUGUGAAGUUCACAACCACACUCGAAUGGUAACUGGCAUUUUGACUUGCUAAUACUGCUAUUUGAUAGAUCAAAUAUCUUACAAAUUGCUUAAUGCAGUAUUGGUGCUUUAAUGCAAUUUGUGAACUAAGAAUUUUUUAGCUCGGUUUGGAAUACCCCGCAUCGACAGUAUUCAAAAUUCAUGACCUAAGAUUUGUAAUUGUAAGUGUAACUACAGUUUCAUGAAGUAGAAGGCCUUCUUCUAAUUCUCACACAGAUUGGUAUAUACAGUAACCCGAAAACUCCCAGUACAUUUGCUCAUACAAAGAGGCAACCUCACCUGACAACCUUAAGUAUGACUUGUAAAGUGAAAGCAGAUUAUCCAAAAUUCAUGACCUAAGAUUUGCAAUCAAGAACAGUAUAAGUUGAAAAGUAAUCUUACAAGUGAAUUUUUUACUCUGCAUGUAAUACAUAAAUUUACUUCACAAUGAACUAAAGAAAUAACGAACAAGCCAGUUAGUUAAAUUCACUCCCACAAGCACUUGAUUUGAUGAGUAUGCUUGAAAUUAUAAGUCAUAACAACACUUCCAUCCAUUCUUUUCAGCACAAAGCUCUCCACCAAAACAAAGCAUCCAAACUUUCUCCAUCCUUCGGCACCUCUUUCAAACUCCUCCACUCUAUCAACCCUCGUCAUUCUAUCAUCACCGCCAAACCAUCCAACUCUUUCCUCCUCCCAUUUCAUUCUCUCAACAAUCUCCAAACUCAAACCUACACUCACUUCUUCUCCAUCAAUUCCAAAACUCUUGAACCACAUCGUGUAAUCAACCACAUUGUUCUCAUCCCACACAGCCUCCUUGCCUCCAACCCAUACAACUUCUCUUUGAACAACUGCAUUAACCAUUACAAUGUUGCCAUGAUCAAUACCAUCACGCUCAAAUAUCUGUUCCCAUCUUUGCUCAAGGGUCAUCUCGUAAAACACUGAAUUUGCCAUCUGAUCUCUUGACGUUAGCAUGUCAUCUUUAAUGAACAUGAAAGGGCAAUACCAUUUUCCUAUCACAACCACUUGUGAACUCUGGUGGGGCAGUGGAAAGUUUAAGUCAGGAAGGCGAGCACGAAGAGUAGAGUCAAGCCCUAGAGCCUCACCUAGUGUGUAGCUUCUUAGAGUAUGGGAUUCAACUUCCCAUCCCUUCCUCCUUAAAAAGUAAGGAGGCAAAGCACCAUGAGCCACAGAUUUGGCCAAAAAACCCCCAUUUUUGUAAUUAGCAAUCUCAAAUUGCUGAUAUGUGUCACGAGGAUCAAAUGGUCUUGGCUUUACAUCUUCAACUUCAUCACAGCAACAAGUAUUCAUCAUGUCUUCUUCUGUGGAACAAGCAUAAGCCUUCCUGUGAAAAAAAUAUAUAAAUAUUAGCUGACAAGAUGUAAGAGCUUACAUCUAAGAAAACACUUAAUCUACGUAACUAAAGGAAUAAUGCUUACCCUUUAUGCUUUCCAUGUGACUCGAUCACGUAGUACAGGUUGCUGGACAAUGGCUGGUUAAUAACAGGAAAAAAGAUAACAUCUUGGUAAUGUCUAUGCUUUCCUGAAGAAUAUGUAGUAGUUAAGUUCUUGUUCUGAGGGAAAGGCAGAUCAAUAAAUUUUCGGUCCUUAGACAUUCCAAAACAACUAUAAGUCACAGAGUCUUCAUCUUCAAGGACUACAUAGCCAGAAUUCGGACCAUCAGGAGGUAAUGACCAAGACUCUGGAUUACUUCUAUAGUAAGAGAGAGGUCUCGUUACAUGCAUGGUUACUCUUUUCUUGUUGUAAUUCUCAGUUUGGUGCUACCAGAGAUGGCAUUUAUAUAGAUUGCUCAUACAUUUAAUUUAGUUUCCUUAAACAACUACACAACAUGCUCUUCUUGGAAUGUUUUAGCAGAAGACUUACUCGGAUGGUUCCCUUUGGUUGACAUUUUAAUUUGCUUGAUUAGUAUCUUACAUGCAUGAUACUCCACUAGACAAGCUAUAAGACUUUCUGGAAUGAUUUGAUUCGAUUUACACAUAAGUUCUACUCCAAAUAUAUAUAUAUAUAUAUAUAUAUAUAUAUAUAUAUAUAUAUAUAUAUAUAUAUAUGUGUNAUUUUGGAGUCAUUAGAGACUACAAGAUCUGCCGUUAAAUAAUAUGGCAAUUAAUGGACAUGAUUAAAUAUUCUUUGUCCUGCAUUUCUUAUCCUGCAUUUCUAAUUUUGUAAUAUUAAUAAUUUACACUAUUCUUGUCCUGCAUUUCUAGUAAUGUAUUAUUUAUAUUCUUGUCCUGCAUUACUUGUUUUUAGUUUUAAUUCAAAACUAUGUUUGUAAUUUACACUAUUCUUGUCCUGCAUUUCUAGUAAUGUAAUAUUAACAAUUUGUCCCGCAUAUUUGUGAUAUAUCUAAGUGUUAUUUUGUCUUGCAACAAAUUCAAUUCGUUGCAGGAUAAUGACAAUGAGUUCAGUGCCAAUCAUAGCAGUGUCCAACUACAUCUUUGUUUUGUAUGCAAUUAUUAUUUUUAUUUGUUAGGAUUUCGGUGAUUGAACAUCAAUAUUAUGGAAUUAUUAUUUUAUGUUAUGCAAGAUUUAGAAGUACUGCUUGUUGUUCACCGAUUUAGAAGUGCAGGACAGGAUAGGGAGAGAAAACAAAUGUGCAGGACAAAAAAUAUGCAGUCGUUGGAUGUUUAAUGAUUGGAUGGCCAGGAUUAGGUAUCUACAGUCUCCAAAUAAUCCAGUCUACAUAGAACUUUCUUAUAUAUAUAUAUACAUAUAUUGGCCCUGUUCCACAACCAAAGGUGGAUAACUAGUUAAUUUUGUCCAACUGAUCUAUAACCAUCCAUUAAGUAGGCAACGGCUAGGAUUAAAAAGUACUAAGCUACAUAAUAUAGCGUUUACGCUAUAUGAUAUAACGUAAGAACAGUAAAAAAUGAGUACCCAGCGUGGGGAGAAGCGGAGUCACAAGUCUUAAGAAUCCUUUGAGAAUGCAGCGUCACAAGCCUUAAUAAUCUCAAAAGCGAGCUUCAAAAAAUGUGUCCCAAGUGUUCCGGUAUAAACAGUAAAGUCCUGCACAUUAAAGUCCUGCACAUCUUGCCUGAUAAAUCCCCAGGAGGUCUUUUUUAUAUUUGAAAUUUUUUUUAUUUAAAAUAAUGUAUAUUUUAAAUUAUUAUAAAAUUAUGCACAAUAAUUACACAUAUCACUAAAAAAUUUAAAAUCAAUUAAUUUAUUUAAUUCUCAUUUUUUAAGUUAAUCUUAUUUAUAUUUAUUAAUAUUUCAUGUUAUAUAUAUUAUUUGUUUAAAGUACAAUAAUUCAUAUUUGUUUUUAGAUAUUUUGUUUUUUUAUAUUAGCAAACAAAAUAAUAUUAAAUUCUUGUAACUAUUUUAUCUAUUUUAAUUUAUAUAUCCACUUUUUUAAAAUUAAUAUUAUUUUCAAUUCAACUUUCAAAAAAUUUAAUUUAAGAUAUUCCAUUACUUAAAUGAUCAGUAAUAUAUUUAUACUUUCUAUUUUCAAAAUCAGUUAUAUAUGAUAUAUCAUAUUUAUACUCUGUUAACUUAAUUGCACAACGCAUUCUAAUCUAAAUCCAAGAAAAACAAAUUUACGUGCACAUGCAUGCAUUAUGCGCACGCACGUCACACUAAAAUUUAUAUUAUUUAGACACGGUGCAAUCGAAUGGAGGGAUUUGAUGAUGCAUGUGUGAGCAGCGAAGAAGUAAACACCGCAGAAGAGUCCGAGGGAAAAUAGGGCGUAUACGCUCUAUUAUAUGACGUAAGUCUAGUUCAUCUUGCCAUUGGUUGCGUUUUCGGACGGUUACAGAUGGGUUGGUUGUAUAAGUUAAUUUCACCAACUGUGGUUGGUGAACGGUUUCCAUAUAUAUAUAUAUAUAUAUAUAUAUAUAUAUAUAUAUAUAUAUGAAAGUUUUAUGUGAACCAGCUGCUGACUUCUUUGUUCUUUGUAAAGAAUUGGGCAUGUUGGCUCGUUCAAAGUAGACUCUUGAUUAAAUUUCAGAAAUUUUGUAGAGUCCGAAGUGAAUCUUGACCUGCACCGCACAGAUAGACAAUCAUGUGACUGGUAAGGUUGCUCAUCUGAUUCAACUGAAUAGAUAGACUAUCAUGUGCACUGGUAAGAUUGCUCCUUUGAUUCAACUGAGUAGAUUAUCUGUACAUAGUUACAGAAAAUACAUAACACAAUACAUCUCAGAUUCUUCGUCUUGAAUGACUAUAUAACCUGAAUUUGGACACUCUGGAGGUAACGAAAGAGAUUCUGGAUUCCUACUAUACUGAGAGAGAGGCCUGGUCACAUACAUUGUUUUCUUUUUUAGUAAUUCGUAGUUAAGUGCUACCCCAGACAGCAUAAAUAUGUUGUUUGUACAAGAAGAUUACUUCAAAUCAGAUAACUUGUACACGUUAAAACAAGCUAUUCAUUUUAAUAUUAAUUUUUUGUUUGCUGAAAGUGAUUAUGAGAUAUUAAUACUAUGUAACAUUCAUCUAUAUGACUCACAUUCAUCUUUAUUUUUAUUUUUCCAGCAUAUCUUCUGUAUGAGAUAUAUAACAGUCCCUUGUACAUCACACAUGAUCAUUAGAACAGAAAUUAUAAAACUGAAUUAUGCAAAGUACUUGUUGAUGUUUCCUGUAACUAGUUUAAAACCCGUGCAAGGCAUCGACCUCAGUAUCACACAUAGUAAAGAAUUUAUCCAUAACUUUAAACAUCCUUGGAUUUAAUUAAGCUUUGAUUAAACAGGUGCACAGACAAACAAACUACAAUUUAAUAGAAUGCAAAGAUAGAUAUUAUUAUGAAACAAUGAAAUUGAAAAUAUAUAAGAUUUACAUAACACAACUAAAUUAAUAAGGCUUAAUGACCUUUUAGCCCUCGAAGUAUGGGUGGAAGUUCCGAUGCGGUCUCGAAGUUUAAAAACGUACCUUUCAACCCUCAAAGUAUCUUUGUCGUACCUUUUAGCCCUUAUGGCGUAUACCGGAAUAUAACGGGGUGGACAAAGUUGACAUUUCACACGUGAGGGUUAAAAGGGGCAUUAAACAUUAAGGGUUAAAAAGAACAUCUAAUGUAUUUUAAUGUAUUCUUUAGGGGUUAAAAAGAAUGAGAUGUAUACUUUAAGGGUUAAAAGGUACGCCCAAACUUCACCCCGAAUAUGAAUUGUCAAGUUUAUCCCCCGAUUUAUACCGGUAUUUUUAAAAAGGACUAAAAGGUACGAUAAAGAUAAUUUGAGGGUCGAAAGGUACGUUUUUAAACUUCGAGGCCGCAUCGGAACUUCCACCCAUACUUCGAGGGCUAAAAGGCCACUAAGCCAAUUAAUAAAUGACAAACAAACCAGUCUUUAGAAAGGAUCAGUUAGACUUUAACUCUUGAAUAUUGAAAUGAAGAAACUAAAAAAAUUUCACAUCCAAAGGCACUUGAGUUGCUGAGUGUGCUUGAAAUCAUAAGUCAUGACCACACUUCCGUCCAUUCUUUUCAACACGAAACUCUCCACCAAAACAUAGCAGCCAAACUUCCUCCAUCCUUCGACACUUCCUCCAAACUCCUCAACUCUUUUAACUCUCACUUCCCUUUCCCCUCCAUCAACCCAUCCAGCCCUUUCUUCCUCCCAUUUCAUUCUUUCGAAUAUCUGUGAACUCAAUCCUAUGCUCACUUCUUCUCCUUUACUCCCAGAACUCUUAAAUUCUAUAAUAUUGUGAACCACAUUCUUCUUAUCUGGCUCUCCCUCCCUGUCUCCAACAAAUAUAACUUCUCUUUGAACAACCGCGUCAACCAUUACAACAUUGCCAUGAUUCAUAUUGUUGCACUCAAAUAUCUGUUCCCAUCUUUGCUCAAGUGUCAUCUCAUAAAACAUUGAAUUUGUCAUUUGAUCUCUUGAAGUUAACGCUAGCUCCAUCUUUAAUGAACAUGAAAGGGCAAUACCAUUUCCCUAUCACAACAGCUUUUGAACUCAAGUCAGGAAGACAUGCACGGAGACUAGAGUUGAGCCCUAGAGCCUCGCCUAGAGUGUAGUUUUUUGGAGUCUUGGUGUUAAUUUUCCAUCCUUUUCUCCUCAAAAAGUGUGGAGGGAAAGAAUCCUGAGCUACAGACUUGGCAUAAAAUCCACCCCCUUCAUUGCAUGCAGUUUCAUAAUUAGCAAUCUCAAAUUGCUGGUGUGUGUCAGAGGGAUCAAAUGGUCUUGGCUUUACAUCACUAACACUACUGCAGAAACAGCAAGUAGUCAUGUCUUCUUCCUUCGAAGAAGCAUAUGCCUUCCUGGAAAUAGAAUCAAAUGGAUCAACACAUUAGCAAAUACUUAUUGUAUAUAACUUUAAAAAUAAUGUUAACUAUAAUAAAUUUCAAUUUUCAUGAUUUAGAACAUACCCUUUGUGCUUUCCAUGUGGCUUGAUCGCGUAGUACCGGUUACUUGACAAUGGUUGAUUAAGAACAGGAAAAAAAGUUACAUCAUGGUAAGAAGUAUGUUGUUCUUGUCUAUGGUGGGUGCCUGUAUAUCUAGUUGUCAGGUUCUUGUUUUGAGGGAAAGGCAAAUCAACAAGGUCCCGGUCUUUCCACAAUCCGAAGCAGCAGAAAAUCUCAGAUUCUUCGUCUUGGAUUACCAAAUAACCUGAAUUUGGACCCUCAGGAGGUAAUGAGAGAUCUUCUGGAUUAUUCAGAUAAUGAGAGAGAGGCCUGGUUACGUACAUGGUUGCUCUUUUCUUGAAGCAAGUCUCAGUUUUGUGUACAGAUUUUUUAGAACAAGAAGAUUAAAUUAGCUUUAUUUGCUGCAACAACACCAGUUACCCUUUUCUAUGGUAAAUUGAAUGCCAGUUGUUGUAUUUUAAGUGUUUAGCAAAGACUUGCUUGGAUGGUUCCUUUAGGUUGACAUUUUUGUUUGCUCAGCUCUGUAAACUACAUGCUCUCCGCUAUACAAGCUAAAGACUUUCUGGCCUCAUUGCUCAGAUAAAUGAUGACCGGAGAUUGCUUGCUUCUAUACAUCUUAACCUAGUUAUUCUCUUUGAUGUUGACUAAUGGCAUUUUAACAGAUUUUUUUUAUAAAAAAAAUCUUGACUAGUUCAAUAUUACUUAGCAUUGCCAUUUCACAGCUCAAUCAAAUAUUGCAUAAACUUUUAGAAGUCUUUAUGCUGAAUCAAGUGGCUGCUAAUGCUGGCUGUCAUGAAUACAUUCAAAUUAGAAUCUUAAGAACUUAAUACCGAUGAAGUUCUGUCAGGUCUCAGAUUCAAGUUCCAUACAUACGUCAAAAACUGCAUAUCAAUUGUCGAUACAGAUUUUUUUUAUAUUUUUAUAAAAAGUUAUUCCACCUUAUAUUAGGCGGAGAAUCUACCAUACAUAUUCGAAAGCACUAGCUCUCCAUAAAAUUUGGGCUAGUCGUUUGAUGAGGUUGUGAGAACAAGGGAAUGCUUUCUUCUCAUCCAAUCUCUCUACCUUGUACAUGUCGUUUCAUUCAAGUUUUUUCAUCAUUAAAAGUGAAUAUCCUUCGUUAUUCGUUAACAAAUUUAGGGGUGCAUACUGUCAAAAAAAAUUGUUUGAGACCAAAUCGAAAAAGCGCCUAAAUAUAAGGGGUGCAAAGUGGCAAUCACUCAAAUAUAUAUGAUAAAGUGCUUUGACGAUGAGAGACCUUUCGGAUAUUAUUCCUCGGCAUUAACAUCAAAACAAGAAUUACUUAAUUUCAUUAAUUCACCAUUAACCAAUGCACAUAUAUAAAGGGUCACAAACAGAUUGUCUGAUUAUUAAAUAAGAGAAUGUCUGAUCAUCAAAUAAGAGAGCAAUUACUUGGAGACCUAUGGAACAAGGCUACUGCAUCAGGGUCUGUGAAGGUUUCUGAUGUAUGCACAUAGAGGCUAACAGUCUUGUAACACUAGAGAACAGGAUAGAAACUACAUAUAUCAAUAAUAGCAGGUCAGUUAGCAUCAAUUCAUUCUCAAACAAAGUAAUUUGUGUAUUUUUUUGCGAGUCUGCAGAAUACUCUAUUUUCGGGUAUGCUAAUCAAACCACUAAAAAGUAGUGUACAGUGAAAUAUUAGAAGAUGCUGGUGCAUUGGAGUAUCCUCAUCGAAGGAUGAGGAUGACCUCAAGAUUUCCUUUUUUGAUACAUAAAACCAAGACUGAAAUGAAAAUCUCUCUUUACAAAACAUAACUAACAGAUAACACACUGUCUUAUAUAAAAAAAAAAGAAAGAAAGAUAACACAAGAAAUAAAGAACAGGCAAACGUAAUUCACUCCCACAGGCACUUGAGUUGAUGAGUAUGCUUAAAUUCACGAGUCAUUACCACACUUCCAUCCAUUCUCUUCAACAGAAACCUCUCCACCAAGACAAAGCAUCGCAACUUCCUCCAUCCUUCGACGCUUCCUCCAAACUCCUCCACUCUAUUAACCCUCAUCACUCUUUCAUCUCCACCAACCCAUCCAGCUCUUUCUUCCUCCCAUUUCAUUCUUUCAACAAUUUCCACACUCAAUCCUACACUAACUUCUUCUCCAUUAGUCCCAAAACUCAUAAACCAUAUAGCAUUAUCAACCACAUUCUUCUCAUCCCACACAGCUUCCCUGCCUCCAACCAAUACAACUUCUCUUUGAACAACUGCAUCAACUAUUACAACAUUGCCAUGAUCAAUCAUCUCGCGUUCAAAUAUCUGCUCCCAUCUUUUGUCAAGUGUCAUCUCAUAAAACAUUGAGUCUGCCAUCUGAUCUCUUGACGUCAACCUUCCCUCUUUAAUGAACAUGAAAGGGCAAUACCAUUUCCCCACCACUACAGCUUCUGAACUCUUCGAGGACAGUGGAAAGUUCAAGCCAGGAAGGAGUGCACGAAGAGUAGAAUCAGUCCCCAGAGCCUCACCUAGUGUGUAGUUUCUUGGGGUUUUAGUCUGGAUUUCCCAACCUUUUCUCCUUAGAAAGUGAGGAGGGAAAGCAUCCCGAGCCACAGAUUUGGCAUAGAAACUACCCCCUUGAUCGCAUACGGUUUCAUAAUUAGCAAUCUCAAAUUGCUGAUAUAUGUCAUGAGAGUCAAAUGGUCUUGGCUUUACAUCUUUAACUACAUCAGCGAAACAGCAAGUAAUCAUGUCUUCUUCCGUUGAACAAGCAUAUGCCUUCCUGGAAAUAGAAGCAACAGAUCAACAAAUGAUCGUACAUCUGAUUAGCAACUAAAUAAACAGAGCAUAAAUAUCUUGAUUUUAACACUUACCCCUUAUGUUUUCCAUGUGGCUCAAUCGCGUAGUACCGGUUACUGGACAAAGGUUGAUUAAGAACAGGAAAAAAGGUAACGUCAUGGUGAGAAGUAUGUUUGUUUUUUCCGGUACCUGAUGAAUAUCUAGUAGUCAAGUUUUUGUUCUGUGGAAAAGGCAGAUCAAUAAGUUCCCGGUUUUUGCACAAUCCAAAGCAAUAGUAAAUCUCAGAUUCUUCAUCUUGGAUUACAAGAUAACCUGAAUUUGGACCUUGGGGUGGUAUCGAGAGAUAUUCUGGAUAAUUUAUGUAUUGAGAGAGACGCCUAGUCACAUACAUGGUUACUCCUAGCUUUCUAGUAAUUCUGUUCUGCAGAGUUCUACCAGAAAUAUCACAUGUCUAUAUAUAAUUUUUUAGAGAAGAUUUUUCAAUUCAGAUUGCUUGGACAAGUAUAACAAGUAAAUCAUUUCUAUGUUAAAUUAUUUACUUGGUAUACUAUGUCUCUAUCAAAUAAACCAAAAUAUGCGACUCGUUCAUUGAAAAACAAAUGCUGAGAUAUUAUUUUGAAAUAUCAACAGAAGACUUUGUGAUGUAGCUUUAAAUAUUCUGAUAUUGUUAGAUAUUUUAGCUAGAAGAAGAUUCCUUGGAAGAUAAGGCUCCAAAGAAAGAUCAAUUACGCUAUCUCUUAUAUAUCAAAUGAGAAACCUGAUAGAAUUUAAUCCAACAGGCAUGCACCUGAUUUGAUGAGUAUGCUUGAAAUCAUAACUCUUAACCACACUGACCCAUCCGACUCUUUCUUCCUCCCAUUUCAUUCUCUCGACGAUCUCUAAACUGAAUCCUACACUUACUUCUUCUCCUCUGCUCCCAUAAGUCGUAAACAUUAUAGUGUUAUCCACCACAUUCUUCUCAUCCCAUGCAGCCUCCCUGCCUUCAACCAAUACAACUUCUAUUUGAACAACUGCCUCAACCAUUAUGACAUUGUCAUGAUCAUUAUUGUAUGUAUUUGAAUUUCAAGGGGAAUUCAGUUGAACUGUCGUGUAUCUUUUAGGUCUGAUUUGGGUGACAACGUUCUAUGCUAGUUGAAGCACUGCAGAACACAAUGUUCUGCAGUACAUGAAGAAGAACUUGCAGUCCAAGUUAGUACAAACCCAUGUAAAACAAACACAGUCAUUUUACAACAUUUAUACAGUACAACUAAAACACUUUUAAACACAUAAAGGCUCCAAAGUCCCCUGAUAAAUAUUUGCUGUAACAUACCAAGCCACUGUAAAUUGGUUCGUCUGUAUAAAGCCGGUUCCUCCUACAAUCACGUCAGGAACUAAAAUUUACAGCGCAGCUUGUAAUGUUACAGCAAACACUUGUUAGGAACAUGAACUAUCAAAUAUACAGCAAACAAGGGAGUGCUUGAGCUAAAUCAAACAAGGAAAAACACGAAUAAAUUUAUUCCCACGUGCAGUUGAGUUCAUGAGUGUGCUUAAAAUCAUAAGUCAUAACUAAACUUCCAUCGGUUCUCUUCAACACAAACCUCUCCACCAAGACAUAGCAUCUUAAUUUCCUCCAUCCUUCAGCACCUCCUCCAAACUCCUCCACUUUAUCAACUGUCACCACCCUUUCAUCUCCACAAAGCCAUCCACCUCUUUCUUCCUCCCAUUUCAUCCUCUCAACAAUCUCUAACCUCAAUCCUACACUUACUUCUUCUCCUGUGGUCCCAAAACUCGUAAACCUUAUAGUUUUAUCAACCACAUUCUUCUCAUCCCACACAGCCUCCCUGUCUCCAACCAAUACAACUUCUCUCUGAACGACUGCAUCAACCAUUACAACAUUGCUGUGAUCAUUAUUGUUGCACUCAAAUAUCUGUUCCCAUCUUUGCUCAAGUGUCAUCUCAUAAAAUCUUGAAUUUUCCAUCUGAUCCCUUGCUGUCAACGUACCAUCUCUGAUGAACAUGAAUGGACAGUACCACUUACCUAUCACAACAGCUUCUGAACUCAUACGAGACAGUGGAAAGCUUAAAUCAGGAAGGCGUCCAGGAAGAGCAGUGUCAAGCCCUAAAGCCUCACCUAAUAUAUACUUUGUGGAACUGGAAUUUUUAGUUUGAACAGUCCAUCCUCCCCUCCUCAAUAACCAUGGAGGGACACCAUUAUGAGCCACAGAUUUGGCAUAGAAACUACCCUCGGAUGCAUCAUCAACAAUUUCAAAUUGCUGAUAUAUGUUAUCAGGAUCUAAUGGUCGUGGCUCUACAUCAGCACCAUGUCUGCAGAAACAACAAGUAAACACAUCUUCUUCCUUUGAACAACAAUAUGCCUUCCUGAAAAUAAAAGAACACGGAUCAACACAUGACAAAAUCAAUAUCUGAUCAACAUGACUAAGAUCAAUUUUAUUGAUUUCAAUACCUACCCUUUAUCCCUUUUAUGAGUAUUAAUCACAUAAUACUGGUUUGUGGACAAUGGUUGAUUGAGAACAGGAAAAAAGGCAUAAUGUGCGUGGUAUGUAUUCUCGCCUGAAUGAUACUUAGUGGUCAAGUUGAUGUUCUGAGGGAAAGGCAGACGAUUAUAGCCCUGACUCAAUAUGAAGCAAGUAACAAUUUCCUCAGGCUCUAUAUCUUGGAUGACCAAAUAACCUGAAUUUGGACCAUCAGGAGGUAAUGAAAGAAACUCAGGAUAACUUCUAUAGUGAGAGAUAGGCCUGGUCAUGUACAUAGUUGCUCUUUUCUAGCUAGUAGUAUUUCACAUUAGAGUGUUACCUAAGAUACUAACAUAUAUACAGAUUGGCUGAAGAAGAUUUAUUCAAUAUAUAUUGCUCACAACUACAUGAAGACAAUUACUCGAUCUAUCAUGAAUUAAAUGUCAGGCCGGCUCAUUCCUAUAGGCUGUGUGUUGCUGUAACUUGUAUUUGUUUCCUAAGUUCUCUCCUAAUUACUAAUUACUUGGAUGUUGGAUGGUUCCCUCUGGCUUUGGCUGAAUAUAUCAUAUUAUAUUUGCAUGUCCUAAUUAGCUCAGCUUUGUAAAUAGUAACAAUGUAAGUGCAACAUUAUAGAUUUUUCCUCAGUGGCUACGACAUUUUUGGAACUCUGCAAUACUUCAGAAUGAAAAAGACACACACACGAACCAAAAGAGGCAUAAAAAAAUAUUAGUCACUAGGACAUUAGUCGAAGGAUCAUGAGAAGAGAUUAGUUGACUAGGAUAGUGAGAAUAGGACAGUGAGAAUAUGAUCAUGAGAAGAGAUUAGUCGACUAGGACAGUGAAUUCAACUUUACGAAUAGGACAGUGAGCAUGAAUUUAGUCGAAGGAUCAUGAGAAGAGAUUAGUCGACUAGGACAUUGAGAGUUUGGAUGGUUCCUUUUGGAGUUUUGGUUGAAUAUAUGUUUGUCCUAAUCCGAGAGGCUUGUAUCGCUGGAAGUUGAAUAUACAUUUGGCUCUUUCAAAAACAAACAAUGAGGUUGCCAGUUUGCUAAGGUCCAUGAUACAACUGUACAGUGGUCAUUCAGACAGACCAACUUCUCAACAUACAGGACAAGAUUACAUUUUGAGUAAUAUACAAACUGCAGAGGCUAUGAAUGAAGAACGCAGACUUGAUAUAUAAAUUCACUUGGGCAAGAAAACAAAAAUAGCUACAUAAUUUUCAAGAAAAACGAGAUACAAUGAAGAUAUAUCAGACAAAAGAUGAUAAAAAUUUAAUGAAAAUUACAAAUUUGUGAUUUUAUACUGGAAAAUUUACACUCACAACACGAUGAAUCAAACCUGUUAACUAAUUUUAAAGUCCCCGAAAUCUAUGUAGAUUUUUUUUUGUUAAGUUAGUUAUUAUCGGCUAAAACUGACUUUGAGCGUAGAAUCAUAGAGGAUGCACAAUCUCAGCAUAUAAGGAAAACGUUAUUCUUGUACUCACUAUAAACUAUAACAGGUUCUAUAAGCACACCAGCAGUACUUCUUUAAUUAAACAAUAAUAUUACAACCAAACAUUUCCAUAUAAAAUUACAAAUUUUUGAAGAAACUAACAGAAUUCAUUCCCAGAAGCACUUAGUUGAUGAGUUUAAGUGCUGGAAAUCAAAAUAUCUGACCAAACUUAAGUUCACACAAGCCUCACAACUAGAACAUAGCAUCCGAACUUCUUCACUAUAUUUUAAACGGCAAACAAUCCAGUGCCAAAGAAAGAACACAUCAGUGACGGACAUAAUUUAGUACCACAAGCACUUGAUCUGAUGACAAUGCUUAAAAUCACAAGUCAUAACCAAACUUCCGUCCAUCCUUUUCAAUACAAAGCUCUCCACCAAUACAUAGCAUCCAAACUUCUUCCACCCUUCAGCACCUCCUCCAAACUCUUCAACUCUAUUAACCCUCACUUUUCCUUCAUCUCCACCAACCCAUCCGACUCUUUCUUCCUCCCAUUUCAUUCUCUCAACAAUCUCCAAACUCAAUCCCACACUUACCUCUUUUUCACCUUGGCUCCUGAAACUCUUAAACCGUACAGUGUUAUCAACCACAUUCAUUUUAUUCCACACAGCCUCUCUUCCUCCAACCAAUACAAUCUCUGUUUGAACAACUGCAUCAACCAUUGCAACUUUGCCAUCAUCAAUAUUGUCGCGCUCAAAUAUCUGAUCCCAUCUUUGCUCAAGUGUCAUCUCAUAAAACAUUGAAUUUUCCAUCUGAUCUCUUGAUGUUGAUGUUCCAUCUUUUAUGAACAUGAAAGGGGAAUACCAUUUCCCUACNNNNNNNNNNNNNNNNNNNNNNNNNNNNNNNNNNNNNNNNNNNNNNNNNNNNNNNNNNNNNNNNNNNNNNNNNNNNNNNNNNNNNNNNNNNNNNNNNNNNNNNNNNNNNNNNNNNNNNNNNNNNNNNNNNNNNNNNNNNNNNNNNNNNNNNNNNNNNNNNNNNNNNNNNNNNNNNNNNNNNNNNNNNNNNNNNNNNNNNNNNNNNNNNNNNNNNNNNNNNNNNNNNNNNNNNNNNNNNNNNNNNNNNNNNNNNNNNNNNNNNNNNNNNNNNNNNNNNNNNNNNNNNNNNNNNNNNNNNNNNNNNNNNNNNNNNNNNNNNNNNNNNNNNNNNNNNNNNNNNNNNNNNNNNNNNNNNNNNNNNNNNNNNNNNNNNNNNNNNNNNNNNNNNNNNNNNNNNNNNNNNNNNNNNNNNNNNNNNNNNNNNNNNNNNNNNNNNNNNNNNNNNNNNNNNNNNNNNNNNNNNNNNNNNNNNNNNNNNNNNNNNNNNNNNNNNNNNNNNNNNNNNNNNNNNNNNNNNNNNNNNNNNNNNNNNNNNNNNNNNNNNNNNNNNNNNNNNNNNNNNNNNNNNNNNNNNNNNNNNNNNNNNNNNNNNNNNNNNNNNNNNNNNNNNNNNNNNNNNNNNNNNNNNNNNNNNNNNNNNNNNNNNNNNNNNNNNNNNNNNNNNNNNNNNNNNNNNNNNNNNNNNNNNNNNNNNNNNNNNNNNNNNNNNNNNNNNNNNNNNNNNNNNNNNNNNNNNNNNNNNNNNNNNNNNNNNNNNNNNNNNNNNNNNNNNNNNNNNNNNNNNNNNNNNNNNNNNNNNNNNNNNNNNNNNNNNNNNNNNNNNNNNNNNNNNNNNNNNNNNNNNNNNNNNNNNNNNNNNNNNNNNNNNNNNNNNNNNNNNNNNNNNNNNNNNNNNNNNNNNNNNNNNNNNNNNNNNNNNNNNNNNNNNNNNNNNNNNNNNNNNNNNNNNNNNNNNNNNNUUUGGAACUCUUGCGGGACAAUGGAAAGCUCAAGUCAGGAAGGCGUGCGUGAAGAGUAGUGUCAAGCCCUGAAGCCUCACCUAAUACAUAGUUUUUUGGAGUUUUAAUAUGCACGUUCCAUCCUUUUCUCCUCAAAAAGUGUGGAGGAAAAGCAUUAGGAACCACAGAUUUGGCAACAAAAUUACUUCCAGAUAUAAAAUUAGCAAUCUCAAAGUGCUGAAAUGUGUCAUGAGGAUCAAACGGUCUUGGUUUUACAUCUUGAACAUGUCUGCAGAAACAGCAAGUAACCUUGUCCUCUUCGGUCGAACAAGCAUAUGCCAUCCUGUAAAAUAAAAAUAGAUGCAAAUUGAUCGACACAAGCAAAUAUUUAUCAACUUUGAUGAUUCUAACACUUACCCUUUAUCCUUUCCAUCUCGCUCAAUCACGUAGUAACGAUUACUGGAUAGUGAUUGAUUAAGAACAGGAAUGAAGGAAACAUCAUUGUAAUAAAUUUGGCUAUAUUCUCCACCUGAUAUAAACAUUGUUGUCAAGUUUUUGUUUUGAGAGAAAGGCAAAGUAACAGGGUACCCGCGUUUGCACAACCCAAAGCAAGAGUAAGUAGUAGGUUCUUCAUCUCGGAUGACUAAAUAACCUAAAUUUGGACCCUCCGGAGGUAAUGAAAGGGAUUCUGGAUUAUUUCUGUAGUGAGAGAGAGACCUUGUGACAUACAUUGUUAAAUUUUCAGGUACAGGUACACCUCAGCUCUCAGAUAGUCUAUUUAUUAGGGUAGAGCUAUAGGCUCGAACCCGAAUUAUAUACUUUUCUAUAUACUCGAUCUAUCUUGAAUUAAAUUUCAGGCCGGCUCAUUCCUAUAGGCUGACAGGUUCCUUAUAUGCCAUUGAGAUGUUGGAUGGUUCCUUUUGGUUGAAUAUAUGUUUGUCCGAAACCGAGAGGCUUGUAUCACUGGAAUUUAAAUAUACAUUUGGCUCUUUCAAAAACAAACAAUGAGGUUGCCAGUUUGCUAAGGUCCAUGAUACAACUGUACAGUGGUCAUUCAGACACAGACCAACUUCUCAACAUACAGGACAAUAUUACAUUUUGAGUAAUAUACAAACUGCAGAGGCUAUGAAUGAAGAACACAGACUUGAUAUAUAAAUUCACUUGGGCAAGAAAACAAAAUAGCUACAUAAUUUUCAAGAAAAACCAGAUACUGUACAAUGAAGAUAUAUCAGAUAGAAAAUUAUAUAAAUCUAAUAAAAAUUACAAAUUUGUUAAUUUAUACUGGAAAAUUUACACUCACAACAGCUUUUGAACUCAUACGGGACAAUGGAAAGCUUAAAUCAGGAGGGCGGGCACGAAGAGCAGUGUCAAGCCCUAAAGCCUCACCUAGUAUAUAAUUUGUGGGAGUUUUUAUUCUGAACACUCCAUCCUUCCCUCCUCAAUAAGUAUGGAGGGAUACCAUUAUGAGCCAAAGAUCUGGUAUAAAACUACCCUCGGAUAAGUGAUUAGCCAUUUCAAAUUGCUGAUAUAUAUCAUCAGGAUCUAAUGGUCUUGGAUCUACCACAGAUUGCUCAUUGCACAGCUACGUAAGUUAACCCUUUCGAUCUUGGAUUAAAUUUCAGACAUAUUUUUACAUGAAUUUUUAUACAGAAGACAAUAAGUUGGCUGUUGGAGGGUUCCCUUUGGUUGAAUAUAUGUCCAAAUCAGCUCAGCUUUGCAAGUACUACAUACUUUUCUGAUACUCGAUCGUAUAAAAUAGCAAGCAGCAUUUUCGAGACAAUUCCACAGGUUUGCACCACUGUACUAGAAUAAGCAUGACAAGCUGCUGACUUCUUCUUUAUAUGUAUAUAAUAGGGCUAUUGUGGCCUGUGUGACUCUUUGACAGUAUCUAAAGGCCAUAGUCUAAACAGUCUCUUCCUGCCUUUCCAUUCUCUCUAAGAUGUCUAAACUCAAACCUACACUUAGUUCUCCUUGGUUCGUAAGACUCUUAGACCAUAUAAUAUCAACCACUUUCUUCUCACGGCCUCCCUGCCUCACCAAUACGACUUCUCAUUUAACAACAGCAUCAUCCAUUACAACAUUGCCAUGAUCAAUAUCGUCAAGCUCAAAUAUCUGCUCCCAUUUCUGCUCAAGCAAAAACAUUGAAUUCAAAAUCUGAUUUCUUAUCUGCCUUAAACACCUCUUAAGGUACAUUUGAAAGUAUAAAGUUCAAGUCAGGAAGGCGUGCACGAGGAAUAAAAUCAAGCCCAAUAGUUUACCUGGUGUAUAGUUUCUUGGAGUUUUAGUGCUCAUAUUCCAUAAUUUUACCCUAAAAAAGUAUGGAGAGAAAGCUUCAUGAGCUACAGCUGAUUCAGUUUAGGUUUAACCAAAAUUAAAUUCAACUCAAAAUGAAUUGUGAUUAAGCAAAAUCACCAAAGCAGAAAUUAGUAUAAAACUUUCAUUAUUUGUUAAGACUCGGAUAAAAUUACAGAUUGAAGAAAGUGCAAUACUUAGAGGUUACCAAAGAAGUUAGAUUUGACUCACUUGUCAAUUAUGGGUUCAACUCAUAAAUACUGAGAUAUAAGCCCAUGUUAAUGUAUUAAGAGUAACCUUGAUCAGAGCCUAGUACGUUGAAAGUUGAAACUGAGCUGAUUAGAUAUGUAUUUUGAAAUACGACGGUGCUGAUCUUUUCUAAAUGAAUCAAACCUGUUAACCAAUUCAAAGUCCACGAACACUAUGUAGAUUUUUUUUGUGAAGUUAGUUAUAAUCGGCUAAAACUGACUUUGAGCGUAGAAAGAACAAGGAUGCACAAUCUCAGCAUAUAAGGAAAACGUUAUUCUUUAACUCACUAUAAACAGUAGGUUCUAUAAGCACACCAGUAGUACUUUAAUUAAACAAUAAUAUUACAACCAAACAUUUCUAAAUAAUACAAACUUACAAAUUUUAUGAAGAAACUAACCGAAUUCAUCCCCAGAAGCACUUAGUUGAUGAGUUUAAGUGCUGGAAAUCACAAUAUAAGACCAAACUUAAUUUCACACAAGCCUCACUACUAAAACAUAGCAUCCAAAAUUGAUCACUAUAAUUUAAACGGCAAAUAAUCCAGUGCCAAAGAAAGAGUAAUAUGCAUUCUCACCUAGUACAUAGUUUUUUGGAGUUCUAAUAUGCAUGCUUCAUCCUUUUCUCCUCAAAAAGUAUGGAGGAAAAGCAUUAGGAACCACACUGGCAAAAACACUACUUCCAGAUAUAUAAUUAGCAAUCUCAAAGUGCUGAUGGUCUUGGUUCUACAUCUUUAACAUGUCUGCAGAAACAGCAAGUGACCUCGUCUUCUUCGGUCGAACAAGCAUAUGCCAUCCUGUAAAAUAAAAAUAGAAGCAAAUUGAUCAACACAAGCAGAUAUUUAUCAACUUUGAUGAUUCUAACACUUACCCUUUAUGCUUUCCAUCUCACUCAAUCACGUAGUAACGGUUACUGGAUAAUGGUUGAUUAAGAACAGGAAUGAAGGAAACAUCAUUGCAACAAUUUUGGCUAUAUUGUUCACUUGUUACAAGUUCUCUGAUAGCAUAUCUAUUAGGGUCGAGAUUGGAUUGGUUUUGGUUCGGUUUUUUUGGUUAACGGGAACUGGAAUCAUAUAUUUUCGAUUUAAACUCAAUUUGAUUGUUUUUGUUUCUGUUUCGGUUAAAAUAUUGGAUAAAAAAAAAAGAGCAAGUACCAUAGUAUUUUACAAAGAAAACUUAGAUUAGAAAAUUAGUCGAAAACUUCAUAUCCUCCACUAUCUGAAAAUGAUUAUAAAAAUUCAAACUCCAGGACCCUUGAUAACAAAAAACAUACAGUCAUUUUACACCAUUUUUACAUAGGCAAAAAGAAAAAGAAAUAAAAUAGUGAAUAAAAUAUGGCUUUGCUUUGUUGCCAACAAAGGUUGGUGCGGUGGUUGAGCUCUUGUCUCUCUUGCGGGAGUUCUCCUGGCAUGUUCGUGUGUAAUCAAUUAGCAAAAUAAAAUAUGAAUUUGUUUGUAGAUAUGGGGAUAACUGAUAACUCAGGGAGAUAAAUCAAACAUAGGGAAACACACAUAGUUUUUAGUCCCACAUGCAGUUGAGUUGAUGAGUGUGCUUAAAAUCGUAAGUCAUAACCAAACUUCCAUCCAUUCUCUUUAGCACAAACCUCUCCACCAAGACAUAGCAUCUCAGCUUCCUCCAGCCUUGAGCACCUCCUGCAAACUCCACCACUCUAUUCACUCUCACCACCCUUUCUUCAUUACCAACCCAUCCAACUCUUUCUUCCUCCCAUUUCAUUCUCUCGAAUAUCUCAAUCCUCAAUCCUACACUCACCUCUUCUCUCCCCAAACUCGCAAACCAUAUAGUUUUAUAGUCAACCGCAUUCUUCUCAUACCACACAGCCUCCCUGCCUCCAACCGACACAACUUCUCUUAGAACUACUGCAUCAACCAUUACCACAUUCCCAUGAUCAACAUUGUCGCGCUCAAAUAUCUGUUCCCAUCUUUGCUCAAGUAUCAUCUCAUAAAUUAUUGAAUUUGUCAUCUGAUCACUUGGCGUCCACAUACCAUCUUUGAUAAACAUGAAAGGACAGUACCAUUUUCCUACCACAACGGCUUGUGAACUCGUAUUGGAAAGCCUCACCUAUUACAUAUUCUUUAGAAGUUUCAUAUUGAACAGUCCAUCCUUCCUUUCUCAAUAAGUAUGGAGGGAUACCAUUAUGAGCCACGGAUUUGGCAUAGAAACUACCCUCGUGGUGAUCAUCAACAAUUUCAAAUUGCUGAUAUAUGUCAUCAGGAUCUAAUGUUCUUGGCUCUACAUCAUGAACCUGACUGCAAAAACAACAAGUAGUCACAUCUUCUUCCUUGGAACAAGCAUAUGCCUUCCUGAAAAUAAGAGGGCGCGGAUCAACAAAUGAGAGCAUAAUAUUUAAUCGACAUCACAAAAAUGGAAUACCUUUUCUGCAAAAAUUAAAGAUCAAUAUUAUUGGUUUUGUUAUAUACCCUUUACGCUUUUUAUGUGAUUCUAUCACAUAGUACAAGUUUCUGGACAAUGGUUGAUUGAGAACAGGAAAAAAGGCAAGAUUGUCGUAAAAAGUAUCUUCGCCUGUAUAAUAUGCAGUAGUCAAUUUGAUGUUCUGAGGGAAAGGCAGAUGAAUAUCGCCCUUAUCUUUACUCAAUCCGAAGCAACUAACAAUCUCUUCAGGCUCUAUAUCUUGGAUGACUAAAUAACCUGAAUUUGGACCUUCAGGAGGCAAUGAAAGAGACUCCGGAUGACUUCUGAAGUGAGACACAGGUCUGGUUAUGUACAUAUUGCUCUUCUCUUAUAGUCUUUCACAUAAGUGUUACCUAAGAUAGCAUAUAUAUAUAAAUUGGCUGAACAAGAAGAUUUAGUCAAUACAGAUUGCUCAUUGCACAGCUACACAAGUUACCCUUUCUAUAUCAAAUUGAAUGUCAAACAUAUAAUCUUUCUGAGUAUAUGCUUUUGUAAAUAGUAACAAUUUAAGUACAAACACAACAUCAUAAAUUUUUUAUACUUACUUGUACAAACCAGCAAGAAGACUUUUCAAGAUAAUUUCUUCAGGUCUACACAAGAGAACUAAACUAGAACUUACAGAUAAGGAUGACACAGCUGUUGACUUCAUCUUUAGUUGGAGAUAAUUAGGAAUUGUUGCCUGUUUGGCUCUUCAAGGGUAGCUAAAGGGUGUAGUGCACCAUUUCAUUUGACCCCUUAUAUCUUUUUUUUUUCUGCAAGGAAUAAAUUCAUUCCAAAAACAAAACAUUAUAGAGUAGAGAGUACUAAUUGUCAAGUCGCAAGAUACUUGGAUCAAGCAACAGGGAACCAGUCUCUUAAGACAGUUAUUUUGGCUAAACAAUGUGUCAUUCUGUUGGCGUCUCCUAUCAACAGAGGCCUUAUACAUCACUAUGAAUAAGGGAUUACGUAACACAGUGAAAUUAAGAAAAAGGAAAACAUUAAGCCGACGGCCUCAAGAAAGAUCUGUCACACAGAACCCUGGAAUAUAAUCUUUCACUCCCACCUGCACUUGCGUUAAUGAGUUUGCUUGAAAUCACAAGUUAUCACCAGAGCCUCUCCACCAGAAUAUAGCACCCAGAAUUUCUCCAUCCUUCAGCACAUCCUCCAAACACCUCUAAUCUAUUAACCCUCACUACCAUUAGAUUCUUUUACAACCCAUCCAACUCUCUUUUCUUUGGAAUUCAUCCUCUAAACGAUGUCUUGCAUCCCAAGCAGCCUCCCUGCCAGCUCCAAUGAAUACGAGUUCUCAUUUAACUACAUCAUCGAACAUUACAACAUUGCCUUGCAUGAUCAAUAUCAUCGCACACAAAAUAUCUUUUCCCAUUGUUGCUCAAGCAAAACAUUGAAUUGACAUCUGAUUUCUUAUCUAGCUUAAACACCUCUUAAUGUACAUUGAAAAGUAAAAAAGUUCAAGUCAAGAAGGCGUGCACGAGAAAUAUAAUCAAGCCCUACAGGAUACCUAGUAUAUAGUUUUCUGGAUUUUUAGUGCUAAUAUUCCAUACUUUUACCCUCAAAAGGUAUGGAGAGAAAGCGUCAUGAGCUACAGCUGAUUCAGUUUAGGUUUAACAAAAUUCAAAUUCAACUCAAACUGAAUCGUGAAUCGUGAUUAAGCAAAAUUACCAAAGCAGAAAUUAGUGUAAAACAUUCAUUAUUUGUUAAGACUCGGAUAAAAUUACAGAUUGAAGAACCUGUAUAAAUGAGUUGGCUAUAUAGUAAUACUAUUUAUAAAGGUUAUCAAAGGAGUUCAACUCAUAAUUCGAGAUGAAGUCCAUGUUAAUGUAAAAAGAGUAACCUUGAUCAGAGCCUAAUUCGUUGAAAAUGAGCUAAGAAUUUUGAUAUAUUAUGGUGUGUAUGUUUUCUGAAUGACUGUAGCCUGUUUCUAAAAUCAAACCUGGUAACUAAUUCAAAGUCCACAAAGGCUAUGCUGAUUUAUUAAUACUUUUGCCAGUAUGUAUAUAUGUGUUUGAUGUUAGGAGUUGCUCUUUCCAAGCUGAUUCACUUGUUGAUUAUGAGUUCAACUCAUAAUUCUAUGUAUGGAGUUCAUUCCAGAAAACAAUAAAUUAAUUAUAUUCGAGGUAAGGAUCAUGUGGAUUUUUUCAGAAUUAAUGUAGCCUUUUGUGAAGGCUAGGAUAAAACAUUUUAAGCAAUUCAAAAUCCCUGCGCGUAAAAAAAAUCAGGAUGCAUGAUCUCAGUUCAAUAAGAAAACGUCAUUCUUGUACUCACCAUAAACUUACAACAGAUUCUACAAGAACACCAUUAGUACUUCUCUUAUCAAAUAGAUAAUUCUGCAACCAAACAUUUCUGCACAUCAUACAAAUUUCAGCAACACAGUGCCUCAAAUAAAUAUCACUUGCACUUCAACUCUUACACAUCAUAUGAAGAAACUAACAGAAUUCACCAAUUCACAACACAUAACCAAAACUUAACCUCUAGAAAUAAAUUUAUGAAACCAGAUAUAUUUU